AGAUUAACUCCAAAGGAUUUAAAAUUAAUUGGUUUGGACAUCACCGGAGUGCACCUAAACUUUGUGCUAUGUGCAUCAACAGAGCCAGCACUGAGCUGAUAUACAGAGGCUGCUGCUGUGGAGUCAUUCAGUGCAGAGCAGUGAGGGGCUGAGGAGAUCAUUUCUCUGCACUAUAGAACAGAUACUAGCCAUCCAUCUGAGCUCAGAGACCCCAUAACAGGACAAGUCAGCGGUAAGUACAUUGCAAUUCACUGCCUAUAAUGCAUGUCUCCAAAGCUGCAGAACCCUGGCUUCGAAUUCUGACCCAAAUCCAGCCAAGAGGCUGCAGCACCUUGUAUAUAUUUCUAUGUAUCUGACCGAAUAGUCACUAAAUUGACCAAACUGCAAUGUUUUUGGCAUUAGCAGCGAGGCUGCCAAUUCUACCGUGGGUACGAUGCAGUACAGGGACUUUAUAACCAGACUGCCAAUCCUAAUAACAGCAGCCUCUUACCCCCUUGAAUCGCACAUUUCUAUGCCUAGUUGCAAAUGUGAUUAAGAAAAUUGUAUAUAUAAACAACGCAACAGAACUCAAGGAAGCUUAAAAAAAGCACAGUCAGUGUGAGUGAAUGCAUCAGGCUAGGAGCUAGUUAAAGAGGCAAUCUAAGCGAAGGAAAUAUUGCAAGAUACAUUGUAUUAUUAAAAUACACAUACCAAAUACGUAUUUUCCUUGUUCUGCGUCCCAGAUGGCUUGCAUCUUCUCUAUAAAAGUGCAAAUCCCCUUUUCAGAGUGGCAGGUGAAAGGACUCCUUUUAAGACGUUAUGGGAGAUUUCCUUGCAAAGAGAACAGAAUGUGUCCCUUUUCUGUGUUUAUUUUAAGCGACUGGAAAAAAACUGAUUGAAAGUAAGCAAAAAGCCUGGAGGGGUGAAGGGGAGAAAGGUGAAUGGGGUAUCCUCUGCUUGAAGGGAGAGAGAGUACUAUUUGGCUUUCAGCCCUUGCAAAAACUUGACACUAUAACUUUAAAUAUAGUGGGACUCAGGGAGCUACAGCACAGCUUGUCAGGAAUGUGAGUGAGCCUCGCCUUAAAGAAUACCCAGUACCCAAGGUAAAAACAGCCUACAGUGAUAUCCUCUCAUCUCAUUCCUUAGAAGGAAGAGAGUGUUUAUUGCUACACCUUCUAGAUUUGGGGCAGGGAAACAGGGAUCUUAAAACUCUCGCCCAGUUAACAAUACUAACCCUCUAACUUAGUGGGGUUUAAGAUCUAAGAAAGUAUUUGUACUACACAUCAUCUGACACUAGAUCAGGGUUUUAUCACAAACAUACUUUAAAAACAAACAAACCAUACCUUGCUAAAUGGCCUUACAAAGUGUUUUUGGAACAGAUAAACUUAAACAAAUAAAUAACUUACUUUUGUUAUUGUUUAGUUUAAUAAAUAUUUAUUUAGAACACUGAGAAAUUCAAAUAGCCUUCUUCAUAUACAUACCUAAAACCUCAUUAAAAAAAAAAAACUGAUCCAUCUAACUGAUCAAUUUGCUUCUACUAUUUUUUUUUUCAUAAAUAAUUGCUAGGCUUUUUUUUCUACUAAUACAUUUCAAGCACCGUACAUUUUCAUUUGACACAUGUAAUAUUAAUUUUAUACCCCCCCCCCACCCCCUUCCCUCCACACACAAAAUAAAUGAAUGGGGAAAUUAUCAUAUGAGAAAUGUAAUGGAUAAUAAAAGCCUGGCAGUCCAAGACAGUUUAAAAUACUUAAAUUUUUUUUUAAAGAUGGAACACAGAAUCUUUCUUUUUAAAAAAUUGUUAUGGUAAGAUGUGUGUCAGAAUUGACGAAUGCAACAAAUACUCCUUCACUGUCACUUGUCAUUGGUUUAACAAGAAUUAAGUUAAACACAGCACUGCAUACUAAUUACAUAUUUACUGGCUAAUGGAAAUUACAAAUGGUUUCUUACCUCAAACAAGACUACAAGUAGGAAGACACUGUAAUUAUAGACUAUAAGGGAAAUAGCUGUGAGCAAGGAACACAAGCCAUAGCUCUUUUAACUAACUGCUAAUACCACAAAAAUGCUAAAUUAUAAAGUUCCCAUUGAUGGCAGUCUAAUCAGACCAUACAGAAUAUUAUAUUAAAAACCUCACUGCUGGGAAAGCCCAAGAAGAACUGAGUAUCCUGUGUUAUUUUUAAACUGCUAUAACUGGGUUUAUAUUAAUUAGGGGAGGGUAUUAGUGACAGACAGAUGCUGCAGUUUAAAAAUCUACAGGCUGUUGUUAUUGAAUCAAAAUUGAUCACAAUAAACAUACAGACAAGAUAAAGGAUUUCUUACUGUACGAUGUAAAAGCAGAACCUAGAGCCAGCUUAUGAAAAACUCCAAGGUAAUUCAGAGCUGUAAUGCCAGAUAAUUAUGUGAUGUUUGAAGAUCAGAUAGAGAUGUUUUUUUUUUUUUUAGAUUCCCUUGAAAUUGUGCCCUGUGUGUCCUCCCACAAGCACAUGGGCUUUCAUUUAUACGAGAGGGGCGUUGACUAGCUGAGAUUUUUUAAACUUUGGCCCACAUUGUAUUGAUAACUUUUACUCUGAACCUGGGGGUCAAGGGUGAGCCUUGGUUUAGCCCCAUAGAGCCUGACUAUUGGAAGAUUGAAGGCAGUCUGUCUAAGCAUAGCUCCAUAAUUACCAAUCUCUUCUUCCAACAAGCUCCAGCAAAGAGUGUUUAUUUUUUUUGGGGGAUAAAACUAGUUUUCAUAUCUAGAUUAGCAAUGGAUUUUGCUUGAGAGACUGGAUUCCCUGUCUUGGCAUUCCCAAAGCACUCCUUUUGUCUUAUAAGGAAUGGGGGUCUCUGAAUGGUAUGAAAAGGGACCGAGAGGGUCGCUUCAAAUCGAUUUCGCUUGUUCUCUGUGUCUUCUCGGAUCAAUGCCUCUCAAUGGCCUUAUAUGUGCUCUUUCAACCAAAAAACUUGUGCAACAUUUUCUGUCUGUAUUCUUGCUAAAUACAAUAAAUUCAGGCUUUUUUUUUUUGUUCAAAUUUUUUUUAUUUUUUUUUACCAAUGAGCCAGCACCCAUCAUAAAGACAGACGAAGGAGGCAAUUAGGUCCAUACACCUAUAAAGGGAGAGUCUUCACUAAGAGUGGCAGGAAUGAUGCUGAUAAUUAGCCUGAGCGUUUGCAUUCCAUUCAAGACAUGAAUGAGGAAAAAACAAUUAGACCGAAUCAGGGAGAUGACCAGGUGCUUGUAGCAAUAUUUUGGGUUUAAUAUAAUAUUUCUAAACUGUUUUUAAAUUGUCUUUUCUUUGACACUUGAGACGUAACAUUACCUGGCUUAUACAUUUUUUUCUCUAAAACUUUAAAGAAAAAAAUAAUUUAAAAUAAAAAUAUUAUUCCAUCAAUUCAUAAUUGUAACAAUUCAAACAUAUGUGAAUAUGUGUUUCAAUGUAUAUACAGGCUCUCAUAUAGACAUAUAUGAAUGAGUUAGUGCAUAGGCAUUUUUUUUAUUUGGAACCAUCAGUAUAUAUAUUGUUUCUGCAGAGAACCUUUUUUUUUAAUUUUAGGUUCAUCUAUGUUAGUACAUGCAUUUUUCUAAUUUGAAUUAAUACAUGAAAAUAAAAAUAAAAUAAAAUGAAUAUAUGUGUAAAUUUGUUGCAAAAUAGGAAGGAUUACUUUAUAUAUAGAAGUAGAAUCUUAAAAGUAUUUAUGUAAAAAUAAAUAUAAUAAAGAUUAUAGAAUGCUGAUACAAAUUAGGACAAGGGGAUAGAUAAUUAGAACAGGGUGAUAGAAAAUAAUUUUAUGGAAAAAUAUUCAGGCGAAUUAUUUAUAAUAAAGAUCUGGAACAUAUGUGUUUAAUGAGGGUGGUUUAGGCUAAGUGAAAUAUACAGGUAUAUGCAGUAAUGUGUGAGAAAGAGACAGAGAGACAGACACUGGGAGACAGAGAGAUCAUAGGUCCAUCAGUAAACUGUGUCCCUGACAAUACACCUCCUGUUGGGAAAUGUAUUGAUCAGAUGAGAAGCUUGAGAUGUCCCUAACACUAAAUAUUUACUGAUCACACAAAUAGCUGGACGUGAACGAUCUUCCCCUGUGUAGAAAGCAGAGAGAGAAGGGUAAAUCAUUUUAUUAGUGUAUAUAAAGCACAAAACACACUCUGGGUUGGAGUGUUUUAAAAUGUGUCUUUAGUUGGAUGAGAAGAGUUAGGGAAAUCGAUAGUCAGUGAUUAGGAGAACCAGCAGUUACUGUGCUUCUAGAAGAAGAGACACAGCCUUCAUGGAUUUAGUUUGAAAGCCAAAGAAAAUCAAAAGAAAUGCAGAAAAAGCUUUAUUUUAUUUAAAAAAGAUAGAAACAAAUGGACCCAGAAACCAUAUCAAUGUUUUACACAAUAUUUUCCUCGGAAUUUUAAACAUACUGGACAUCUUGAACAUAUUUUACACAUGUCCUAUAGUAUGUCACUUAAAUAAAAAUAUAUAAAAAAACAAGCAAAAAAAACAGCCUUCAACUCCCAAACAAUAAACAUAACAUAUUGAUCUACAGAAAAGACUUAACCCUUUGGAAAGUGGAUAAGCGACCAAGUCAUUAAAGUGUUAACUACAGCUUCACACAAUUCGUCAUCAGGUCGGUUCAGCAUAUGGGUGAUCACAUUUUAAUAGGGGUGAUAAAUAUAUGUAUAACCCCCCCCCCCAGCCCACCAUUUAGAUAGGUUUUUCCAGUCGCUAUUGUCUUUCUCACAGCUAUUGAGACCGAUUAACCCCUUCUAUUGCUUUGCCUCCCAGUCUGCUUAAACCUAAAGGGUUAACUUGCUGAAUUAAACGGUUUGCCAGAUCCCUGUAAACCGUAAUGAAAUGCACGCAAUCAUUUUAAUCCUUUAUAUUAAAGAGAAAGUGCAGACAGUGACAAGCUCUUGGGCUGUAAUCUUCCUCUGCUGCAGGAGAAUGGACCGCCCUGGGAGCAGAAGGGUUAAUUAACCUGCACAAUGCUUCCUACACCUGAUCCUGCUUUGAGAAUAUGUGUCAUCGCCCACAUUCCAACAGUGAGGGCAAAGCUCUUCUUUUUUUGUUCUAUGUAGUCAUUACAAUAGUUUGGCAUUCGGAAAUUUUAUUUUAUUUGCAUUAACCCCUCAUGAUGAGGCUGAUAUGUAGACUCCAGUGUAGAGAAAGGCUGGUGGGUGCAUGUUGUUACAAAAGAAAGAUGUCUUAGCGAGCAGCACGAUAUACUUAUCAUCCCUAGGUUUAACCCCUUAAGGACCAAACAUCUGGAAUAAAAGGGAAUCAUGACAUGUCACACAUGUCAUGUGUCCUUAAGGGGUUAAGUGAGGCAGGUAUCAUAUAACAGGACAGAGUAAGUGAUCAGUUCAUGUAACCUGUGUCACUCUGUGGAUGGGUGGGGAAACACCUGAUGCAGGUUAGGGGACAGAGCAGCAAAGCGGUCCUUAUAAUACUGUAAACAAACUUUGAGGUUACAAACAUCUGCAAAUAAUCUCCAUAUUCACUCCUUCCAUUGAGAACAUUGCUUUUCAAUUUACUUAUAAAGCCCCCAUCUUAUUUAUGUAACAUAGGACAUGGGGGUAUGGACUUAUAAGCAAAGGAUAUCUAUCUAUCUAUCUAUCGAUAGGUCUGUCUGUCUGUCUGUUUAUCAUAGUCAUGUUAUGAGAUAUAUAUAUAUAUUUGUUUGCCAAUAUUUCUAUAUUAUUUUUCAAAAAAGACACAAAUGGCUGAAAGAGCAAUAUAAAGAAUGUUCUUACUUUCGAAACAAUAAACCAUCCGAGUUCCCAGUGUUAAGAUAUGCAAGACUAACCCUAUAAGGCCAAAUGUUAAUUGAUGUUCCAUAACCCCUCAUGGGCAUUCAGUCAAUCCCUAGACCCCAAAAAUUAGUGCAAUCAUUACCAAACGAUGAGUAUUGCGUCAAGAUGAUCUGUAUUAUUAACCUGUGAGGGCCUAGCUCAUGUCACAGAGUAUUUGACACACACACACACACACACACACACACACACACACACACACACACACACACACACACACACACACACACACACACACACACACACACACACACACACACACACACACACACACACACACACACACACACACUCUCUCUCUCUCUCUCUCUCUCUCUCUCUCUCUCUCUCUCUCUCUCUCUCUCUCUCUCUCCCCCCCUCCCCCCCCCCUCUCUCUCUCUCUUCCUAUAUGGAAAUACAAUACAAUACAGGACAGUGCAGAGGGAAUGGCCUACAAUACAAUAGUUUCAUGUCUUUAGAAAAUAGUGUUUUUUUUCUAUUAUAAACGUGUAAUAGCAAAACACACACACGCAGGACAUAUAUUUAGACAGAUCUGGCAUCUCAUUGUUAAAUCAUAACCAGUAAAUGUGCAAUUUUCGCAAACACUUCAAACAUCUCAUCAGUGAUAUUGAUCAAUUUUCUAGAAUGUGUUAUUGACUAUUUACACUUUUCCCCCCCACAUAAACCCACAUUCAUGCGUUUGAGAUUCAUGGUAGGAGUGUAUUUCUCACACAUGAUGUGUGCUCCAAUCUAUAACAACAUUUCUGCUAAAGAAAGGCAGCAGUUAAAGGGUUAAUCGCGUGUAUUCUCUGUUUUUGCAGAAUCUGUAGUGUCUGAUAGGUGGGCACAGGUGCAUUAGAUCAGAGAUCAAAGCAGAAAUCUAAAUCUCAUUUUCAGCACGAUAUUUUACAACCCAUAUUCAGAUUCAUUUACAGUGGUUUCCUUUAUAUAUUAGAUAAUACGAAUAAUCUUCAUUUGACUACUUAAUGUCCUCGGGAAUUAAACAGAUUCAAAGUGUAUUUCUCCAUUAACCGAUUCAAGACCAGGAUCAGGGAAAUCCUUUGUUACCCAGACGUUUCUGAUAUGUCUCUGGUUCCGAAGGGGUUAAUAUCGUAGCACUGAUUUUGAUUUAAUAAUAUCAACCAAGGUAAAGGGGGGGACUUAAAGUUACACAUGAGGACGUACACAUUUCUAUUAACUCGAAGCUGGUGUUAUUCCAAUAGAUGCAGUGUAACAAACUGUGGCUUGUAUUACGAUUUUAUGAUUUCAUGUCCUAUAAAAUCCACUUGGUGUGUAAACUUGGUAAAGUCGCUAUUACCAGGCAGCCAGGUUAACCCAUUAUGUUAUUAUAUCCCACUAGCCCUGAAAGGCACCAACCGUGCUUUCUAAUAUCCUCUAGCCGGGCUAAACGCCAGGGCCACGUCUUAGGAACACAAAAUAAAAUGAAUUCAAAUAAUACAUCAAUUCACAGGUCUCGUAUACAUGUCGUGUCUUUUAUGUGUACACAUCUUUGCAAAUAAAAUACGUAUAUGUAAGGAUGCACUUGCAAUAUUGAUCGACAGACAGACGGACAGACAAAGACGGACAGACAGAUAGAGAGAUAUACACACAUAUAUAUAUAUACAUCAUAUGUGCACACACACACCAAAUACACGUUCUUACACAAACAAACAGAAACACACACACAGUCACUGUAAUACAGAUAUUUACAACCAUUCCUUCAGCCAUUCUUAAAAUGUACAUAUAGGCGAAUAUGUUUCUCUAAUUAGACUUGAUAUAUGUUAGAAUAAUUGGUAUGUAUGUGAUGUAUGUGUUGAUACAGUAUAUUUGUGUAUGUGUGGUGUGUUUUACACUUUCAGUUCCCCAGUCAGUAAGAUGACAGUGUGUGUUUAGAAAAGCAAUGUCAGCUGUUACAAUGUUUCCAAGUGGUGGUAAGUUUGCAUGGAGAUAUUCUGCCUGCCUCUCACUAUCUGUCUGGGUGCCCCAGGGCCAGUGAAAGAAUGCUACAGAUCCGAGAUUGCUUUCAGAGUUUGUCUUCUCAUGAUGGAUUACCAUGUCAAUUUAAACGGCAUAGGAUUAAUUUGUUUCAAUGAUUUCUCUUUAGGAUGAAUGCCAGUUCUUUUUUUUUUUCUAUCUCUUUACUACCCUGGAAAAAAAAAAAAAACCCUAUCUUUUUUACCCCAGCACUUUGGUCAGACGAUAACAGCAACAGACAAGUUAUGUGAAAUGUAACAGAGCGAUUGUACUUUUCUGUUUUCUUCCCACCAAAUAAAAAUGAUAUUACAUCCAGCACCUAUUCCAUAAAUACAUGUAGGGUAAGUCAUUCAGCAGAGAUUACUUCUGGCAUAUAAGGACUUCAUUUGUAUUCUGCCUAAAAAAGGGACAUUCAUAACCUUGCUAGGUCUACAAGUGACAUAAUGAAUUGGAAGUAAGUUCCAUAAAAAUUAAAACUCUAUAGUCUGGGAUCAAUACUUUCAUGGGGUGGGUGCUAUGUUCUCUGCUCAGGAAUGGCUACAGAUUAUUUGUAGGUUUGGCAUCUGCUACAGAGAAUCAGGGAAAAGCUGUGACAUUUAACACUGAACUAAACUAGCAAUUGAUGUAUGGCUUCUGGAAACAGAUUUGAACACACAGGAAACACAGCCAUUGUUGUUUGUAAGGAUUUGAUUCUCUGUUCUUGGUGUCAAGGCUGUAAAUGCAUCCAUGCAGAGGCACUGAUAUUUUUUGGGACAUUUUAAGGUGGAAAAUAAGUUUGCUUAACCCAGUAACCAGGUAAUAUUAUUAUUAUUAUUAUUAUUGCCAUUUAUAUAGCGCCAACAGAUUCCGUAGCGCUUUACAAUAUUACGAGAGGGGGGAUUUAACUAUAAAUAGGACAAUUAGAAGAAAACUUACAGGAACGAUAGGUUGAAGAGGACCCUGCUCAAACGAGCUUACAGCCUAUAGGAGGUGGGGUAUAAAACACAUUAGGACAGGAAAUAGCAAUCAAAUACGGUGGGAGUGAAGCAGAGCUGGAGGAGAGAGUAGAGUGCUGCCCUUUAGGAGAGAGCAAGAGACAGGUAUGUGAGGUAGAGGUUACUCUGGGAGAGUUGACAUCUGACUGUGUAAAACAGGCCUGUAACAAACUUCAGACAUGCAAAUUUGUUAAGGAAAUCAGCCUUAUUAAAUAUUAAAAAAAUAUUUAAUCAAAAUUACUAAUGUCAUAAAAAAAAAUAAGGCAAAAGACGUAAAAUAAAUAACACAAGCAUUAAUAUUUAAACCAGCUUUUAAAGCAGUUUAUGUAGAAAACAGCCACUUAAGAAAAAAAAUCUAAACAUUGUAACAAUACAGACUUUAUAAAUUAAAAACAAACAAAACUAAACUAAAAUAAAAAAAUAUUAAAAUAAAACUUACAAAUCAUAAGAUGAAAACAAAUUCAUCAGCCAAAUAAAACAUACAAAUAAAUUACCCCUAACUUUUAAAAAUAAAAAAAAUAGUUAGAAGUAAAGACAAGUAAAUAAAAAGAGAUAGGAUAAUCAGAUGCAGGACAAAAUAAAGAAAACAUACUUUAAAUGAUAUUGAUUAUUCAAGGAAAAAAUUGUUUCCACUUAGAUAUACCAAUGGGCCGAUGGAAUGAAGGUGUCUUGGUAUGGUGGUGGUGUCAUGAUGUAGAUGCUAGAAGCAGAUGGAGACACCUACUGAAAAGUGUCUGAAGAAGAUUAAUAGGAGGUGUCAGAGUUGGCUAAAGCUCUUUGCUCUACAUUCCUCACAGCACCAGAUGAAUUACUGAUGAACAUUCAGUUAUCCUCCCCUUUUCCUAUCAUUAGACACUACAUCAAGUCCCAGCACUUAUCUGCAAUCUAAAAUUCCACAUGGCUUAAAAAAACAAUACUUGGUUUGAUAAAUAUUUUGUUCAAAAUGUAAUAGGGGAUGAUGAGGACAUUUCUUGCUAGUUUUCUUAAGUGCAGUAAUUGUUAGAUGUAAAUUUAACACAAUAGGUAUUAUUUAAAAUAAGGCAAUUUUUGUUUUGUUACACAUAUGUGUGCCUGUGUUGUCAGGCAAAGACACGUAUCAUUAAUUCUUCUUGUUGUGUUCCAUGUGUCUGUGCAUGUAGGGGACCAUUUUGACUCACUUAGAAUGUGUCAUUAUUUUGUAAAUGUCCCACACAUAGCUUCUACCUACUCAAGUAACAUAAUUGUUAUUUGUCAGGCAAUUACUUCAAAUUCAUAAAUCAACUUAUACAUUGCAAAAGGUUUAAACAGUGAGUAGUGGGAGCAUGUCCCACCUAGAUCAACUAAAUACUGCUAUUUGGUCUAAAUUUGGGAAGUUUCCUAUCACCUCAUCACCACUCACUGGCUAGUGAAUAGACUAUUGCAUGACAAAACUUCUGCUAUUUUUGGAGUACAGGUCUUCCAAUUCAUUGCUCCAUUAAUUGUUUUGACUGGGGCAAUAUACAAGUCAUUCAUAUUGUUUUGUUGCUGUGAUGCCAAUUCAGGCAGUAUUGUUCCCCAUUAAUUUAGUUCUCUCUAUCGUGGAAACAGAUAUGUUCUGGGAGAAAUAAUAUAGGGUCAAUACAAACUGAUCUCUGGAAUUCCUUAGUAGGAAUGUACAAAGGACAAGAGGUCAUCUAAUUCGAAUAGCAAAAAUGAAAUUUCACCAACCGCACCAACAGUAAAUUGAGCUGAAGAGCACACUUACAAUAAUUUUAAAAUCUGCACACAUGUUUAACUUUCUUCAAAAUUAGUUAAUUAUUACUUUCUUUUGGAUCAGUAAAAGUUAUAAAACAAAUAAAAAGUUGAACUUGAUAGAAUCUAAUCCCAUUUUAACCUGUAAUACUAGUCCUGGCAAUUCCUGAAGGAGGAAUGAGAAGAAAAUAGAUGAGACUGAAACAGUUACUCAAUAAUUUUGCCAGGGUAAUCCCUGUUAAAGCCUGUAUUUUAAAAUCCCGCUAUUAUCUGGAAUUAAAUUCUUCCACAGUGUUUGAAAAAUGUAUACCAAACGUAUGGUAAGUUUCAUAAAGUAAGUAUAUUUAGACAAAAUCUCAAGAUAACAGGGUCAACCUUUAUUUGACAUGCCCAUAUUAAUACCAUUAAUUAUGGUAUUAAUAUUUUUUAGCAUCUUUGCUGAAAUGCUUAAUUUGACUGCUUGGUAUUUUAACUCUCCAAGUUCUGGAAUAUGCAAUGCCAGGACAUUCUACACGAGUUAUCACUUUGUUGAACACACAUUAUUUUUAAGAUGGGCAUGCAUAUAUUGCAUAUUAGCCAAGAUUUUGGAACUUGAGAAGUGCUAACUCUACUACACAGCUCUGGAUUUGUACAGAAGGAGGCCACUGGGGACUGUGUAACCAAUUGGCAGAUUAAGCAACAUUACAUGGAGAGUAUUGAAAUAUGGAUCUAAACAUAUGAUAUCAAGAUGGUUAGAAGAUUAUUAUUAACUGUCUGUGUUUCAAAACAAGAUUAUAGUGCCAUUACAUUUUAAAUCACGCUAAUUUAAAAUGUAUACCUAUUCAGUAUUUGAAGAGGAAGACUUGCGGACAUUUGUAAAAUGAAUUUAUUUAAUAUCAGAUUUAGAGAAGCGUAACUAGUGUAUGUAAAAGUUAUGCAAAGUGUACAAUUUUAUUUGUUAUGGUUCUUUGUAGUGCUUAUAGAAAUUCAUGAAAGUGGACUAUUUCCAGUGAAAAUUGUAGUCACUGACCAUGAUUUAAAGUCUACACAUGCUCUGAUUGGCUGAAAACAAAACAUAGCUUUAAAGUCAAAGUUGUUAAUUCAAUAAAAUUCUUAUUACCUGUUUUUUUAUACAAGAUAAAACUAGAGCCAUAUGCUUUUGAAUGUUUUUAAGUGUGCUGUGUUAAUAUGUUAAAGGUACAUUCUAAGCACCAAAACAUUAGCUUAAUUAAGUAAUUUUGGUUUGUAAAUCAUGCCCUUGCAGUUUCUCUGCUCAAUUCUCUACCAUUUUGGAGGUAAAUUAAUUUGUUUAUGCAUCCCUCGCCACACCACUACUGACGACACUCACACAACUUACCUUCACACUUCCUGAAAAAAAGAAUCUACAUUUUUAAAAUUUCUUUAAGUGCAUUGUGUGAUUAAAAUGUCUCUGUCUGCAUGUGUGAGAGUACAGCACUGGGCUCCUGGCAGAUAAAACACAAGGAUAUAAAGAGGCUCCCCUGGAUGGACAUGGCACUAGUCGUAAAGACAGCUUCAGGUAAGUAAAACCUACCUUCCCUUGCACCCCCAGGUCACCACACACCAAGUAGCGAUGUCAUCAUAGGGGGUCUUUGAAAGACCCCAGAAGGUUACAGAGCUGUUUUAAUUUAGAAUUUCUUGUCUCCUGCUGUGCUAAUAGAAUGCUAGAGCCCUCGACAGCCUCAUGUGUGUGAUUAAAGUUCAAUUAACAGAGCAGAAGAUAAGAACUUCUAAUGUAAACACACCAUGCUGAUUGAAAGUGAAACCAUUUACUACACAGAGGUUUUGUGAGUCAUGGCCAAGGGAGGUGUGGCUAGGGCUGCAUAAACAUAAACAAAAGUGAUUUAACUCCUAAAUAGCAGAUACUUGAGCAACUAGACUGCAGUAGCAUGAUAUGUACUCCAAAACCAGUUUAUUAAAGGGACACUGUAGGCACAAAGACAACUUUAGCUUAAUGAAGCAGUUUUGGUGUAUAGCUCAUGCCCCUGUAGUCUCACUGCUCAGUUCUCUGCCAUUUAGGAGUUAAAUCACUUUCUUUAUGCAGUCCUAUUCACACCUUCCUGCAUGUGACUUACACAGCCAUCCUAAACCCUUCCUGUAAAGUCAUCUCCUGCUCUUUUAAUAGCUUGCUAGACUCUGCAGGAACCUCCAGUGUGUAAUUAAAGUCCAAUUUACAGAGCAGGAGAUAAAAACUUUUAAAGUAAGUUACAUCUGAUUGAAAAUGAAACCAUGGCAGUGAAUUGAACAGUGAAACAUCAGAGGCAUAAUCUAUACACAGAAAUUGUUUCAUUAGGCUACAGUUGUUUUGGUAACUAUAGUAUCCCUUUAAGCUAAAGCUGACCUGGCCCCAGUGUCAGGGCAAAGUGCCCUAAUGGUGCCCUCAGGGUCCCCCUCCCGUGGUGCUGAAGGGGUUAAAACCCCUUCAGCCACUUACCUUAUUCCAGCGCUGGGCUCCCUCGGUGCUGGUGACCUCUCCUCCCCCACUGACGUCAGCUCCCCCGUCUGACGUCAGUGGAGCCGAAUGCGGAUGCACGGCAUUGCCCAUGCGCUUUCAAAGUGUCCAUAGGAAAGCAUUUCUCAAUGCUUUCCUAUGGACACUCUGCGUGAUGAAGGCAUAAUAUGCCUCAAGCAUCGCAGAUGUGCCUCUAGUUUCUCUGAAACUGCUAUGUUUGCAUCUGAAGGGUUAAAACCUGAGGGACCUGGCACCCAGACCACUUCAUUGAGCUGAAGUGGUCUGGGUGACUAUAGUGUUGCUUUAAAAUAUAUACCUUCCUGAAAAUACCUCCCUCCUUAACCAAGAUAGUCAAAGAUAAUAAUGAAUGUGGUGGCUGUGUGAAUAUCGGUAUUUAUUUAAUUUGUGAUCUUUCAUUGCUUUUUAUAACAGUUAAUGUUUUACAGAAUGAGGAAACAUAAAAGUAACAUCUCCACUAUACAUGUCCUACCAAUUUGGCCAUCACAAUAUUUUGAUUAAAUGACGUUAUUCCCUAUAAUCUAGCAUAAAUUAAUAUUUUGUAAAAAUGCACAGUGACAUGAGUGAAAAAAAUAAGAAAAAUCUUUUGACAAAAUGUUAUAUGUUGUUCUAGCUUGUUUGUGAAUAAGCUAUAGAAAAUAUAUUAAUAUAUCAUAUUAUUUGUUUGACUUUGAAGAAUACAUGAAUAUUACAUGCCUAGAGAGCAUGUACAAAAUUGCAUGUACACAUAUGACAUGAGUAACUUGUAUACCUAUAACAUGAGUAACUUUUCACUCCUCCUAUCCUAGUAGAUCUCCCGCUAUUCCCUCUGGAACAGGAAAGGGAGUUCUUAGACAAAGGAGGAUGGGAUCACUUAUAUAGAGACCAUCCAUGAAGAGGCGGUUUGUUUCUAAGAUUUCUCCAGAGUGGGGAGGGAGCAUAGUGAGGAUCUUUAAAACUGAGACCCAGCAUUACAAAAUAAAUAAAUAAAUAAAUAAUAAUAAAAAAAAAAGAUGCUCACCUUCAAGGUUCCUGAUCAGUAGCAGGUUCUGCCCAGACCAGACCAGUAGCCUUUUAUUCUUGUCCAUUGGUCUGAAAUAUUUCAAUAAAUCACUGUCCAGCAAAGGAUAAAGGAAUAUGUAUGUUCAGUCCCUGGCAGCAGUCCCAUUUAUUAGAUAAAAUGAAUGGAAUUGCUGAAUACUGCUCUGGUCACAGUUCCAUGAAUGGAGCUGAACAGUAGGAGGACAUGUAAAACCCCCCUUGUGCACAGCCAUGGUCCAGAAUGUCAUAGAGUUAGUUAGUGUGAAUGGUGACUGUGUGGCACACGGCAUCUCAUUUCUCUGACAUGUGAAUUCAAAGUAGAAGGCUUAUCGCUGCAGUAUUUAUUUAUUUAUUUAUUGCAAAUUAAUGCAAUUGGAAACAACUGCGUGCGACACAGGAGACUCCCUUACAUGAUAAAUUACGCUAUGGACACAAUCAGUGAUGGUGCUUGCGGUGUACUUGCUCAUGGCAUAUGCUUUGAAAGAUGUUGCUUUUGAGAAUAAUAUGGUUAAAGAAUGUUUCUCUAUAGAAAUAUUUAUGUACAUAUUACUGAUACUGCUCAGACACAUUCAGCGACACUAGUUGCAUUCACUUAUGGGUUUUAGGAAACUUAAUUUAACAGACAGAAGCGAAGCAUUCUAUUUUAAUUAAAUCAAGCUACACAAUAUGUGCUGGUUCUAAUUACCUAUUGAAAAUAAGGCUAUUUUACAUUGUGGAGAUGGUCAUCUUUAGGUUUGUUGUGUUUUUCAUAAGAUGUCCAUACUACUGCUUCGUUAUACCUUCUAAAUAGCUCACACAGGCACAAGGAUGAUUAUAUCAAAUCACAAACCUCUGAUUUUGCCAUAUUUGCAGUUAAUUCUCUAUUUUACAUCAAUGGGGACUAUUCUGAGCAUCUUAAGUCUCCAAAUCCAAAGCUUCUGUAUGAUUCUUAUGAAUAGAGUAACAAAUGUGUCUAAAGUACACCUCUAAAGUAUGUAACUCUAUGCUAUAAAUCUAUCUUCUCCAACUAAUACAAAAUUCAUCCCACAGUGUUUUUACCUUUGGAUAACAUUUUUUUGUUAGGCGAUCGGUUUCAAAAAGUACAUUGAAAUGUAAGCAAUAGUCAAGCUAGCAUUCUAAUUACACAGCUGCAUACGAAAUGAUAGAUUUCUGAUUUUAUAUAAGAAAUAAAUAAUUGAGAAUAUACUCUACAUGGCAAUUCAAUUUUUCUAUAAAAGUCAUUUACACAGAUUCCCCAGAACAUGCCAUUCAUGCAAAAAAUGUAAGAUUUGUAUGGAUCUUGAUGCAUCACAUUAGGUUUCACGUUAUGCUUUUUUUAACCUUUAGUGCACUACUACUCCACACUUUACUUUCACUGUACUUAAAAGAAUACUCUAAGCACCAUAACCACUACAGCUCACUGCAGGAGUCCGCUAGCACUACUGGUGGCAAAUUGUCAAGUUGCUUACAGGUUUCAGUCAAUGAAUAAUGUCCUAACUAAAGUAUAAAUUCUGAGUUGAUAUGAUUAUGUUGACGUAUGAAUGUCCUCGGUUAGUAUUAAGCUAUUUCUAAAUAGUUUGCCACUUACUGCGAGAAAGUGAUUGGGGACUCCUGGUACCUUAAUCGCUACAACAUCCUGUAGUUGUUACGUUGGUUUGAAAGUCAAUUUAAUACGUUUCCCCUGUGAUCCACAUUCCGAAUCCCACAUUCACACAACCUGUGCCUACAAUCAGCAACUUCAGUGAGUAAAUAAACUCCAUUACACUCAAGAACAACGGACAUUGAUAUAACUUGCAAAUCUUGACUGCAAAAUGUUAGCCAAAAAAAGGUUCAAAUGGAAAAUAUCUAAAGCUAGUAGUCAACCAGUUCACUAACAAAAAUUGAAUGCACACGUUUUAUUUUUAUUUUUAAAAAACAAAAUGAAGUUUAGCCCAUAAAAACUCACUUAAUGUCAAUCUUUCCCAGUAAGUAUCUGCAAAAUAAAUGGAUAUGGCAGGGCCCUCCACUCCCCCAAUAUAAUAAGCAAGUGUGAAAUAGGAACUUUAUUUAUGCCAUUGAAGAAUCAGGAGGUGAGUACAGACGAGUGGGCUCUUUGCGACAAAAAAGGCAUUUCAGACGCUGAAAUAUUGCAAGGAAAAAGACGCCUGCCAUAUUGUUUGUAAAAUAUGUGGUUCCUCCAAUAUUUCUGUAAACGAUUAAUAAUUAAAUAAAAAUGUAAAAUUAUGUACAGAACAGUAAUCUAUGCACACAACUGCGGUUCAAUCUUCCAUUUAUGCUCUAUUUAAUUUUCCUGUCUUUGUAAGUUCUAUUUUAAUAUUCUAAAAUAAAAAACAGUUGUAGUGAAGGUGUUAAUGAUUCACAUGAGAAAAUAUUAAAUUUUUAAAAUAAUUUUUCAGUUCUUUGUAUACACACUUUCAAGUAGUUUGCAAAAAAUUACAGAACAUUUAGUAAAGGGCAAAUAAAAACAAUGCAGGGAACAGGUCUGAAUAUCGUGUUCCGCUGUUUGAAGGACUAGUAAGUGAUGUAUUGUAAGCUCGUUUGAGCAGGGUCCUCAUCAGCCUAUUGUUCCUGUAACAUUUUGUGAUUGUCUCAUUUAUUGUUAAAUUCCCCCUUUAUAAUAUUGUAAAGCGUUGCAAAAUAAGUUGGCGCUCUAUAAAUGCCAAUAAUAACAAUAAUGUAUGUCUGAAAAAGCAGACAUAAAAAUGUUUAAUUGUACAAGAUCAUGUAUAUUUAAUACUGUGCAAAACCUCUCGAUGGACUUAGCCCAAAGCUUAGAAAAAGUUUAAGCGAGUUAUUAAAUUUUUUUAUCUCUCAGGUAAAUUCAAAACCACUUUCCAUGUUAAAAUACACGGUCUGUCAAAUCGUCUGAAAUAGACAGACACAAAUGACAUUGUAUUUCCAGGAAUCAUGAAGUUUAAAGGCUACAAAACAAAUAAACUUAACUGCAAUGUGUGCACUAACAUGUAUUCACUUAACAAACAGAUGCAAAAGUAAUGCUAAUUAAAUUAACCACUUUGGAACAAUUCUCCAGUUUAGAAAAAAAUGUAACCUCGAAACAACGUAAACAAACAAACAAACAAAAAUUCAUAAUUCUGUAAAAAUCAAACUAAAGAUAUAUAAUUUAGUAGAACCAUUUCUUGGACACAUGGACUCCACAUGGCAACAUCAAACAUGAGGUCUGCUUCAGGGGGAUGUUUAAACAACCUUUCCCACCACUUCAUAAAUAUACUCCUUUGUUUCAAUGUCCCACUAGCACUAUUGUAUAAGGCAGGAGGAACCUCUCUCUGUACUGUGUUCUUACAAAGUAUUCCAAAGACUCAUGUCUAUGAAUGGGUAAAAUGACUGUAAACGAAUGAUGGAUUGUUUGUCUGCAAGCUUUGUGACACUGCUUAUACUUCAAUACAUCAUUCCUUAUCACAAUAGAUAAUAUUCUGACCCAGCUGAUAAUAAGGGAGGAGCUACAAUGAAUUAUGGGAAAGUCUUUCAUCCCACUACACCCCCCCUUUUUUUACCUCCAGAUUGGGCUUGAGAUAAAGUUUAAACACUCAGAAAAUGUAAUGAAAAUUAGAAUCUCAACCAAAAAAUGCUACAGUUCAGUGCUGUUUGGUUUAACAUGCAGGCAUCUUUCAGACUAAUGUCAUUUGUCUCAGAGUUAUCUCAGUGUGACGGAUUAAACUGUAACUUUGGUUUGAAGUGAAAAAUGAUUGCUCUUCAAGCAGAGCAAACACAAAGGGUUAAGAUCUGAGUAUGGACAGAUGCUUUAAGUCAAACCUACAGCUCUGUGCCAGAAAAGAUUAAUGUUACCUAUAGUUUGUGUAAAAUGACCUUGCAAACAGAAUUUCCCCUCAAUUGUGCAAGUCACAUUUCAAAAUAGUGAUAAUCUGUGUAACUAAAAAAAAUCUAAAAAAACACACCACACAAUGUAUCUUUCCAGCAUCCAAGGGGUUAGAAACAAUUUAAAGGGAUACACAAUACAAUCUAAAUAUAUCAUAUAUAUAAUUGAGGCCUUAUUAUUCUGUUUUCGAAGCUGCACAUUAGAUAUUUAUAGUAUACAAUAUCUGAAAAUGAAGACAAGAUAUUUUAGGACAUUAGUUACUUGUUUACCUUUUUUGUUCUUAAUAUUAAACGAACCAAGAUUUGCACUGUAUUUAUCAAAUUGUUAAGAUGUGUAUGGUUAGAUAGCUGCUAUAAGACACAAAUAUUUCAUCCGAUAGUUUACAUCCACCAUACUGUACACAAAACAAUGUUAAUAUACAAGCAGCCUCUGAAAAGGUUUCCCUUACACCACUAAUGUAGAACAAGCAUAAAUGGACUAUUUUUAAGAAAAUAAUUAUUAUAAUACAGGUUAGACAGUGAAUAAUGUCACAGAUUGACUUGCAAAAUAUAAGCGAAAACAAACUGGGUAUUUUUCCUAAUGGCUUGGCAAUAUUAGCUUAGAUUUUGCAAUUUAUUUUUAUUUUUCAAAUUGCAAUUUAAUAUGUAGUGGAUAAACCUCAUGGAUGGAAUAUGUUUUGCCUUCUUUUGGAUCAACAGCAAAAACAUAUGUGAGGAAGGCUGAACUUAAUGGACGCAAGUGUCUUUUCAGCUAUGUAACUCUGUAACUAUGUAAAUGAUGUAUUUAAAGUGGUAAUAUUUAUAUUCUAUAACAUGAACAAUUUGGGUAAUUGUUACUAUUUAUUCAGACCAACUCAACUUGACUUGAUUUGCAAUACUUGGUCAAUCCCUUGUGAGACCAGCACGGCAAAAAAGAAAAGGUGAGUAAAAUCACAUUUUUACUUCAGGACUAUAUAGUGUCAAGAAUACGUGUUGGCAUUCAUGACUCUGUAGUGUUCCUUUAAAAUUACCAACAUAGCAAGUUUACUGUCAGCUUGUUUUACAGACACUGUUUAUUAUUAAAUGGGUAGAGCAUUACUGAUUAGAACACGGUUAGGCCAAAACAGCUUUUAUGAAAACAUAUCUGAUGUGAAGAACAUUUUUGGCCCAAAAAUUUGAAAUUCACUUUGAAUUGGUAAUGUGACCUCUUUAGUGGAUAACCCUGCAGUUUGUUAUGAUGACCAUGACCAGCACUAGUCCACAAAGUGUUAAUUAGAUUCCGAUGAAGAAACCAUCAUUCUUUCCCCCUCAAUUCACUACAUGUAACAUCAUUCUUGGUAGGCAUUUAGUUGACCACAGCUACUGGUUUAGCCACAAAGCAGAGGCAGUCAAAUUAAUAGUUGAUAUUGCAUCCAGGAAGAUAAGCCCAGGAUUUUAAACUGUGACUCUAUUUAGGAAACAAAAACGUGAAAAAAGAACAAGUUCGAAAACAAAGCAAAACAGUCCAUAUAAACAAUUAGGAGAAUAACUGUAUGACGCAAAAAAUAAAAUAAAAACAAAUAAAUAAAUAAAAAAGUGAAGCUGUGACCUGGUUGGUAAGAACUCACCAUGCAACUCGUCCUUCAUGAAGUAAUUAUGAAACCUACCUCUAGUAUACAGUCUUCCUACUACUAGAAUGUGAUGCAGUUAAAGGCUCUUAUCAUUCAGUUAUGUUUAUUUUAAAUACAGUACACAUUUAAAAAGUGCCUCUCUGUUGUUCUCUGUGGUUGCUGCUUUAUUAACAUCCUCAGAGAAUGCUCACAGACAACAUACAAUAAGUUACAAUACCAUAUGCAGUAGGAGUUAAAUAUUGAUGUUCAUGUUUUCUGUACGUAGUUCACUAUGCUGUAUUUUCCCACUAAAUUUUCUGUAUACUUACUGAUUUUAUCUUAUUUUCUUUAUAUUUUAGGCACACUUGCAAGCCUACAGGUGGGAAGAAAUUUUUAUUUUUUCCAUACGUUUUUUGCCUUAAGAUAGACCUAACAGUUGAUUUAGGUGAGCCUGUCGGAGGACCACUUGAAAUCUAGGACCUGUAGGCCCCAGGUGGAAAUAUUUCAGCAAAAGCUAUUUUCUAUGUAGGCAUCUGCAAUUUCAUAUACAUGCUUGAUUUUGAUUUUUACAUAUUGUAAAUAUAUAAAAUACUUUUCAGUUGUUAUGGUAUGCUGCACCGUUUUACCAGUGGGUGUUUUGUACAUAUACAGGGUUAUUGACUAAAGUAAGAACUGAAGGAAAUUCAAAGUAAAUUUAAGGUCAAAAUAGCCAAAUCGGAAUAAUUCUCCUAGCCAGCUAUGCUUUCAGUUCGGCUACUUUGGCCUUAUAUUUAAAAUUCUCUUGCAAUUCCCCACAAUUCUCACUUUAGUGAAUAAUCCUGUAAGUGAUCACUUUUGUUCCUGAACUUCAACCGAUUUAUUUAUUAUUUACCGAAAAGUCUUGAUGGAUUUGCAGAUUAUAUUUUUAUAUUUGCCUCUGAAAAACUUUUAUUCACUUUCUGUUUUAGGGUGUUUGACAGUGUAAGUGGAAACGUUACCAACUAAUGCUUUCUGUUAAGCCAGAUGUAAGGAUGCACCUAUGGUAAGUAUAACUUUUUAUAAUUCAAUAAAAUAGUAGCUACAACAAUAACGUCAUGUAAUCGUGUUUAUGUAUCGAGUUGAUCGCAAGGCAUAUAUAGUAUAAUAUUUACCAAUACAUUCAACUGUUUUUGUUAAAAUAGUAGAAGAUAUUUAAAGGACAACUAACGGCACCUUGACAACAUCAUCUCAAUGUAGUGGUCUGGGUACAGUAUCUUUUUAGUUUUAACCGUGUAAUGUAGAAAAAUCCAGCUACGUAGAAACAUUGAAAUGACUGAGAUCAUCAGUCUUGAUGUUCUCAGCCAGGAAUGUGGAGUGGCCACGGGGAGACCAGCCUGGCAAGGUUAGAAAGGUAAUUAAAACAUACCUUUUGGUAUUGGACAUACCUAAAUAGGUACCGGAACACUAUAAAGUUAGGAAUACAUGUUUGUGUUCCUAAUGCUAUAGUGUUUCUUUUAAGACAGCCACCUUCCUUUAAUAUAGACAAUUCUGUUUUCUGCACUCUCUGAACUGUUUCCCUAAAAUACCCCCUCUAUUCCUGUUAGCGGUAAUUAACCCUCUGUUUAUCUGCCAAGCUCUUCAAAUGUAGUUUAAAGUCUCCCCAACACAUCUGACAUUUGCUUUAUAGCUAAUUGUAAAUUCUCAAAUAUCUUAGUAAAACAUUUUGUAAUUUAUAAUAGAAACAUAAUGCUUGGAAGUGGACUAGGUGUAUCCAUAACACAGUGGCGGAACUAAUGUAGUGAGAGUCCUGGUGCAAGAAACGAUUUUGGGCCCCCUAUAGUGCAAGGGUGGCUAAAAAGUAGAUUCCCAUCUGUCGUACAACUCCCACAAUGCAAUGCCAACUGGGGUUCUACCAUUUGCCUAUUCUUGCAGUCUUGUAUUUGUGAGCAGUGUUUGUGCGUUUAAAUGUAUUUUUUUGUAUUAAGUAUGUGUGUGUGCAUGUAGGGGUGUAUUUGUAUGUACCUUGCCAUUUCUAAGCAAUGUCUGCGUGUUAAUACAGGGGUGUGUUUGUAUAUGAUUUGGGCAUUUUAAUACAGGGGUGUGUUUUAUUUAAUGUUUGUGUUUGAUUGCAAGGGUGUGUUAGCAUGUAAUGUUGGAGUUUGAUUGCUGGGAUGUAUUCACAGAUAUAUACUGAUGCAUACACACACUGACAUACACACACUGACACACAGAUAAACACAUAUAAAUACACUGAGACAAACAGAUACACACACUGACACACACAUAUAAACACAAUGACACAAAUAGAUAAACUUACUGACACAAACACACUCCAACAAAUACAAACAUAUGUGUAACUGGGAGGAAGUGACCAGCCCUUGCUACCUCCCAGCAUCGUUGAAACUAAAGGGGCACACUGUUAAAGGGCCUUACUUCUGUUUAGCAAUACUUACUGCAUGGUCCAGAGUGCACCGGCUGUAGUUCCAUCCUUGCCCUAAUAUAACAAUAGCACAAGUUAAAUGGCAAGUUGUUUGAGAUAUAUUUCUAAAAAAUAUCUUUAAAGGAACACUAUAGCAUCAGAAAUACAAACAUGAGACUAUAGUGUCUGAAAAGCCUGCAGGGUCGUGCUAAAUAAACAUUUUAUCUCAUUGAAUGAGUUAUAGUGCCUGGAGUCCCCUGGCAUUGUUCUAUCAUUCAGUGUCAACCCAUUUUUGAGCAGAUUAACAUUAAAUAAAGGUCCAAGAGCACACGUAGCCUGGCUCCCAUUUGAGACAUUGCUAUGGCAGAGAUUACACACUUCCUUCUAGCUAUACCAGUUCAUACCAGCAAUGGGGGCACCGUGACAGACUGAAUGCAGUCCACUGACACUCUCUGUCAAUCACGGUCACCCAUUGCUGCUUAGGCUAAUUCUUCCUCAUAAGUGCAAGCAGCAGAGGGGGUAUGAGCUACAGGGGAUUCUCAUUCAGCAUUAAAACAUUAAAAACGGCUUAACGCUGAAUGGAAGGAUGGUGCAGGGGACUCCAGACACUAUAAGCACUUUAAUAAGAUGAAGCUGCUUUGCAACCUUUCAAUAAUGAUGGUGCAAAGUAAUUCUACCCCUAGACCCGCAAGGACUCUUGAACUACUGUAGACUGUCUGCAGGUAUUGCACAACCUCAAAGGGUUACUUUAGGCAGCAACACAUGUGGUGCAAUAUUUAGGUUAGUUUACAGCUAAUUAUGCCAGUUUUUUCUCAAUUUAUUUAUUUAUUGUCUUAAUAAAUAAUUAGUAUUACUUAGCCUUGCCCUGCAAGGUUACUAUUACCCUUUUCUCCAGCAGUGAUUCAUUUUUGUACUGAUGUCACAACUUAGGUCUCUGUGAGGUGUUCAGCUUUUAGAUUUUAGCAUAUAAAACUCCCAGAAAUCCUUGCUGUGUUCAUAAUUCACUACUUAUAGGAACCAGUUGCUCUAAAAUGUACAAUAGGCAUCAAUUACUUCCUGGAGUGGUGGGAAAAUGUUUAUUUUGUUAUAUAUCAUUUGAGAGUCCUAAAUAUCUCCUGUCAUGAUCUAGCUCAUUAGUGUAUGAAAUUAUAUUUUUCUUUCAGAGAGAAACUUAAAAUAUUCAGAGAAAAUUAGCUGAAAGUAAAAUAAAUGCUUAAUAUGAUUGUGUCACAUAUUCAUCCGCUUAUAGAAAUGUGGUUAAUGACAUUUACUGUCCACACAGGAAAAGUUGUGCCGAGCAGCAACCUAAUCCACAGAAGGGUUAAUGCUGAGCAGUAAUUGUGCAAAUGAAACCUGGUGUCAUGUAUUCAUCCGCUUAGAGAAAAGUGAUUAAUGACAUUUACUGUCCACACAGGAAAAGUUGUGCCGAGCAGCAACCUAAUCCACAGAAGGGUUAAUGCUGAGCAGCAAUUAUGCAAAUGAAACCUGGUAACUGACUUUGGGGUCAAAGGCCGGUUACAGCCUAUCAGAACUAAAGGAGGGGUAUUUAGGCCCAGUUCUCAGCCUGCUCAGUGCCCUGUCGUGGUUUCCCUUGUGGUUGUCUGAGAGCGCGUUCCUGUUUAUAGUUUUCUACCUGGUUUUUGACUUUGGCUUUGUUUAUUGACUUCUCUAUAUUCUGGUAUCCUGACUCCUGGCUUUCCUCAUCGCUGUGUCCCUUUCUGUGUUCCCUGACCUCGGCUAGUAUUUUUGACUAUUCUUUGUACGUUAAAUCCGGCCAUUCUAAGGACCGGUAAUACGUUACUUAUUUGUCAUCCGUGCUGUACAGUUCUACGUGCUGGAUCAAACAGUAAUCCUGACAUUACGACAUGGCCAUAGAUCCUGUAGAACUGUGUCAGCACAUAGCUGCUUGCGAGAGGAAAUUAGAGGAGAAUGAUCACCGCAUGGAUCAAUUCACUCAGGCUUUAAGUACGCUUCUCGCUAGAACGGAGCAUCUGCAGCCUGCAGCGUCUCCUCCUAUAGCACCUCUACCCUGUGUACCUCCACCCACUGUUAAUAGGACUCCUUGCAUCUCCUUAUCACCAUCCCUACAGUUUGAUGGCAAUAUCCAGGAAUGCAGGGGUUUUCUUAAUCAGGUGGAGUACCAUUUUGAGGCCUCACCAGGGUCAUUCCCCACGGACAGAGCAAGAAUUGGUUAUCUAAUGAAUCAAUUAAAGGGCAAGGCCCUUGCCUGGGCUAAUCCAUUGUGGGAGAGUAAUCGGAGCAUAGCUCAUAAUUACCAGGAAUUCCUUGCCGAAUUCAAGCUCACGUUUGAGCCAUUGGGUAGAGAGGAUGACGCCUCCACUGCCCUAAUGCACAUCAGACAAGGUAACCGGUCUAUCUCGGAUUAUGCUAUUGAAUUCCGUACCUUAGCUUCCGAGGUAGACUGGACUAACAAUGGGUUAAUCUCAGCAUUCAAAAAGGGUCUCUCAGAGACUAUACUAGAUGAGAUAGCCGCUAAAGAAUUACCUAAGAGUCUUAACGAAUUUAUUACGUUUGUCAUGCAUAUUGAUAAUAGGUUAAGACUCAGAGAAGUCACCAGAAGCAAGACCAGACGUACGGCUAUGUCCCUAGCACCUCAAUUCUCUAAACCUGUUUUGUCUAACCUCCCUGUACAGUCCGAACCCGAACCUAUGCAGUUGGGGGUCACUAGACUGUCAGAGGCCGAAAAACAGUAUAGGAGAAGGGAGGGGUUAUGCCUAUAUUGCGGUAGAAAGGGACAUAUGAUAACUAAUUGUCCAGUGCGUCCGGAAAACUUCCGCACCUAAGAUCCUUAAGGGGACAGAUCUUAGGUGUGAUGGAGUUGUCCUCUAACAAAAACAAAAGUAGAUUCCUCCUUGAGGUAUCUAUUUCCAUUGAUAACAAGAAGUUUUCUUGCAGUGCCCUAAUGGACUCAGGUGCUGCUGGAAAUUUUAUUGAUGUCCAGUUUAUUAGGGGUAAUGAGAUACCGGUCAGGGAGAGACCUACGCCGCUAGCUGUAGAGGCUAUUGAUGGUAGACCACUCACACAACCGCUUAUAACCCACGAAACUGUCCCUAUUACGAUCUCCAUUGGGGCCUCCCAUAGGGAGGAGAUGACGUUUCAGGUUAUUACUUCUCCAUCAUGUCCUAUCAUAUUAGGGUUUCCGUGGCUGAGUAAGCACAAUCCCUAUAUUGACUGGGCUAAUGGGGAGAUAUUAGAAUGGGGUAAAGAGUGUAUGGGGAGAUGUAUAAAACCAGUACUAAAGAGAUUGGAUACUAUUGACCUUCCCACUACCACUCCCCAAACUCCUGGAGUUCCCAUACAAUACCGAGAACUUCAGGAGGUGUUUAACAAGGCUCAAUCCGAUGUAUUGCCUCCCCACAGAGCAUAUGACUGUGCCAUUAACCUGUUUCCAGGCGCUAUGCCACCUAAGGGGGCAGUUUAUGCCUUAUCUCCCCAGGAGAGUAAAAUAAUGGAGGAAUACAUCAAAGAAUCCUUGAGCAAAGGGCACAUAAGAAAGUCAUCCUCACCAGCUGGUGCAGGAUUCUUUUUUGUUGAGAAAAAGGGUGGUGAGUUACGCCCUUGCAUAGACUACAGGGCACUUAAUAAAAUCACUGUAAAAAAUGCAUACCCUAUUCCACUCAUUUCCGAAUUGUUCGAUAGACUUCAGGGAGCUAAAGUAUUUACUAAGCUUGACCUUAGGAGCGCUUACAAUUUGGUUAGAAUUAAAGAGAAUCAUGAGUGGAAGACGGCAUUUAAUACCCGUAGUGGACACUAUGAAUAUCUGGUAAUGCCAUUUGGGUUAUGCAACGCCCCGGCCGUAUUCCAAGACUUUAUAAAUGAUGUACUCAGGGAAUUCAUUUACUCAUUUGUCUUGGUUUAUUUGGACGAUAUUUUGGUGUAUUCCCCUGAUCUUCAAACUCACCACUCCCAUGUGAAACAGGUUCUGCAGACGUUGUUGAAAAAUAAACUUUAUUGUAAAUUAGAAAAGUGCAUAUUUGACCAGCCUGAAGUCCACUUUUUGGGUUACAACAUCUCUGCAUCGGGAUUUCAAAUGGAUCCUAAAAAACUAGAGGCUGUACUACACUGGCCAUUACCCUCUGGUUUAAAAGCCAUUCAAAGGUUUAUUGGUUUUGCCAACUAUUACAGAAGAUUCAUCAAGGGAUUUUCUUCUGUAAUAGCCCCAAUCACAAAUAUGACUCGCAAAGGGGUUAGUAGCACGGUAUGGUCCAAAGAGGCUGUGAAUGCUUUUGAGACUCUUAAACAAAGAUUUGCCUCUGCGGACAUACUAAAACAUCCUGACACCAGUAAACCUUUUAUAUUGGAGGUUGAUGCAUCCGAGACAGGGGUAGGGGCUGUUCUCUCUCAGAGAGAAAGCCAGGGAACACCAUUGCAUCCUUGUGGCUACUUCUCCAGAAAGAUGUCUCCUGCUGAGCGCAACUAUGAUAUUGGCAAUAGAGAACUGUUGGCCAUUAUUCUUGCCCUCAAGGAGUGGCGACAUCUUUUGGAGGGUUCCAAGGACCCCCUGUUGAUCAUAACCGACCACAAAAAUCUGGCAUAUAUAGGGGAUGCCAAACGUUUGUCUUCCAGACAGGCUAGAUGGUCACUGUUCCUUUCACGUUUUAACUUUCUCAUUACUUAUAGACCUGGUUCUAAAAAUACCAAGGCUGAUGCCUUGUCCAGGCAAUUUGAUAAUGAGUCAGCUCCGGAACAGAUGACAUCUCCUAUUAUUCCAGCAGAGUGUAUUAUUGCUACUACUGUCCUCUCACUGUCUUCUCCACUGCUUGGCACCAUACUGGAGGCCCAGCCUCAGGCGCCCAGUGGUAAACCGUGUGAUAAACUGUUCGUUCCCCUAUGUGAAAGGGUUAAUAUCAUGAAAGUGUUCCAUGACAAUAUAACUGCUGGACACCCGGGCAUCAAUAAGUCCACUGCCGCGAUCACUAGAUCAUUUUGGUGGGAUUCACUCAGGAAAGAUGUAAAGGAGUAUGUGCAGGCAUGUUCUGUGUGUGCAGUUUCUAAGGUGACUCAUGCACUUCCUUGUGGCCUGUUGCAGCCUCUUCCUGUUCCUGAGAUUCCAUGGUCCCACCUAUCCAUGGACUUUAUUGUUGAGCUUCCUAGCUCUGCUGGGUUCACUACUAUUCUCAUGGUUGUAGACCGAUUUUCUAAGAUGGCUCACUUCAUUCCUCUCAAGAAGUUGCCAUCUUCGCAAGAUUUGGUCCUAAUUUUCAUACGUGAAAUUGUCCGUUUGCAUGGCAUCCCCCACAAUAUUGUGUCUGAUAGGGGCUCUCAGUUUGUGUCCAGGUUCUGGAGGGCGUUCAGUAAACAAUUGGGGAUUGAUCUCUCCUUCUCCUCCUCCUACCAUCCACAGACCAAUGGUACAGCUGAGAGGGCUAACCAGUCAUUAGAAGUUUAUUUGCGUUGUUUUAUUAAUAGCACACAAGACAAUUGGUCCGAACUACUCCCGUGGGCCGAGUUCGCUAGAAACAAUGCUGUUCAUGACUCCUCUGGGCACAGUCCAUUUUUUGUCAAUAAUGGUAGGCAUCCUACGGUUCUCCCUGCGGUAUUUUCUGAUACUGCCAUUCCUGCUCUGGAUGAGCGUCUGGCCUCCAUUCGGGAUACCUGGGUUAAGGUUCAAACUGCUCUAGGGGCUGCUGCUGAACGCUUCAAACAUUUUGCUGAUAAGCGUAGGAGUGCCAACCCGGUGUACCAAGUGGGGGACCGGGUUUGGUUGUCAUCUCGCAACAUCAAGCUUAAGGUCCCUAGCAUGAAGUUUGCCCCCAGAUUCCUUGGUCCCUAUAGAGUGCUUCGUAGGAUCAAUCCAGUGUCUUACUCUCUGGCUCUUCCUGCAUCUUUAGGGAUUCCCAACACUUUUCAUGUGUCCUUACUCAAACCUCUUGUCUGCAAUAGAUAUACUGUUCCUUGUGUUCCUCCCCCUCCGGUGGUGGUGGGUGGUCAGGAAGAGUAUGAGGUAUCUUCUAUCGUGGAUUCUAGGUUUUCUCGGGGCACUUUACAGUACUUGGUUGUUUGGAAAGGUUACGGUCCUGCUGAUCGUUCUUGGGUUUCGGCUCCUGACCUGCAUGCGGGCCGUAAGAUCCGCGCUUUUCACGCUAAAUUUCCUCUCAAGCCUGGUCCUGUCCGCCCGGUGGGCGUUCUUCAGGUGGGGGGUAAUGUCACAUAUUCAUCCGCUUAUAGAAAUGUGGUUAAUGACAUUUACUGUCCACACAGGAAAAGUUGUGCCGAGCAGCAACCUAAUCCACAGAAGGGUUAAUGCUGAGCACAAAUGAAACAGGCUUAAAAGUUGCAUGUCCAUUGAGCAACCUAAUCCACAGAAGGGUUAAUGCUGAGCAGUAAUUAUGCAAAUGAAACCUGGUAACUGACUUUGGGGUCAAAGGCCGGUUACAGCCUAUCAGAACUAAAGGAGGGGUAUUUAGGCCCAGUUCUCAGCCUGCUCAGUGCCCUGUCGUGGUUUCCCUUGUGGUUGUCUGAGAGCGCGUUCCUGUUUAUAGUUUUCUACCUGGUUUUUGACUUUGGCUUUGUUUAUUGACUUCUCUAUAUUCUGGUAUCCUGACUCCUGGCUUUCCUCAUCGCUGUGUCCCUUUCUGUGUUCCCUGACCUCGGCUAGUAUUUUUGACUAUUCUUUGUACGUUAAAUCCGGCCAUUCUAAGGACCGGUAAUACGUUACCUAUUUGUCAUCCGUGCUGUACAGUUCUACGUGCUGGAUCAAACAGUAAUCCUGACAGAUUGGCAUGCAGAACUUUCUUCAUGGGCUCAAUAUGAGUAUUAAAAACAAGAAAUUGGAUAAUCUAUACUUAUAGAAUAAGAUGUAGAGCGGAAAGAGAAGGGCAGGAAUACGAAAAAGAAUAAACAUUUAAUUACAAUUACAGAGUAACUUUUUCACAACAUAUUUAUAGAAGAUCCUUCUUAGCUAUGUCUUUUUACACUCAUUAUAUGGAUUGCAUGAUUAUAUUAAUGUGUGUAUGUGUCUGUUUGUGUGUGUGUAUGCACUUAUAGAAACGGAACAACAUAUAACUAUAUAUGUAUUUGUGCACCUUUACAAUUUGUGUGUACUAAUAUUCAUUCUUUAUAUAGUUUUAUUGCUGAGUAUGUUGUCUGAAUCCAUCACUGAAUGGAUUAAAGCAUGUGAUGAAGAACUACCCUGAAACUCUACAUACACUAUGAGGUUCAAUCAACUGUAAGUAAAUCCAGUAAAAUGCAAAACCUGUUAAUUUGUCAAUCAUUUUGGUAACAUUAACCUAGUAGAGGCAUAGGCAACCUUUGGCACUCCAGAUGUUGUGGACUACAUCCUCUAUAGUGUUCUUACACCAUAAUGCUGGCAAAGCAUCAUGGGAGGUGUAGUCCAAAACAUCUGGAGUGUUGAAGGUUGCCUAUGCCUGAUCCUAGUGCCUAAUACUAAAAAAAGAUACAGUUCUAUCAAAAGUUACCUUUUUGUAUAUCCAUGCACUACAAUAUCUAUAGUGAGAGCAGCGAAAAUUUACAUAUACUGGUGAUAAAAGUUAUAUUAGUAUCUAUACGUAUAUCAGGACUGAAACGUCUGGGAAUUUCUCUCUAUAUACACUAAGAUAGAACAUGGUGAGUAUAGUGUAAUAACAGUAAUAUGUUACUUAUUUUGUAAACUACUGCUUUCUUGAGAGUAUUACUGCUAAAGGGAUAUCAUUUUUAAAAGAUACAAGCAUAGAUUGUUGGCCCUCUCUUUUUAGCAUGACGAGGACUUCUGCCAAAGUGGGAUGACUUACUGAUAGGCCUCUAAGGCACUAUUUGGAAAGUCAGAAAAAACUUUAUCACCGGGAGCAGUGAAGAAAGUUAUGAUCAACUUAGCUGCACAGUGAUUUUACGUUUCGAGAAGCAUUUUGCCCCAAAAAACUUUUCAAGUACUCACUAUUCUACGUUUAGUAAUCUUAUAAGUUUAGUGCAUGAACUGCCUCCUAUAAGAAAAAAUCUUGAUGCUCAUACUUUAUAACAGCCCCUAUAACAGUUAGAUUCAGCUGCGAACCUAUGUAUCCUUUUAUUUUGUACAAAAACCUAAUGUUAGAUACAUGGCCCUAAAGUGAUGGCUUGGAUUUUUUGAUUUAUACAUGCAUCAUUGUAGAAGUGCUUGGUCCUACUGUCCUUUUAAACCGUACAGUAGAAGUGGCACUACAUUCGCUUCUUUCUAUUCACAGUUUCUGUAAUUAUAAGCAUCUUUGCCAUAGAUAAAUUAAACAUCUGUCUGUCUGAAGAUAUCACAUCAGAGAAUUUCAAUCAUUUACAUAUUUUUCAGAAAAGAAGAUUAUUUAUUUUGUUUUCUUUUUUACUUUAAAAACAACUUUACCGGACCACUAAAGUCACCCAGACCACUUAAUUCAGUGAUCUGGGUGGAGUUGGCCUGUAAUUUUAACCCUGCAAUAUAAACCAUUGCAGUUUAAUAGAAACUGCUUUACAUUACAGUGUUAAAUACUCCUCUAGUGGCUUUCUUCCUGACUGCUACUAGAGGCGCUUCCUUCUCCAGAACUGAGUGAAACUUGGCCUGGGCAUCAAAUGCUGCUGCAUUUGAUUGGUAGAGCGCGGGGUUUGUCCACCCAUGCCUAGUUUAAAAAUAAAAUAGAUUGGAGGAGAUCGUGGAUGAUGUCAGCUUAGAUGCUGACAUCACCGGAGGAGGAGCUGGAGGCUACAUGUGGAGGAGUCACGGCAUUGGAAAUGAAGUAAGAAAUCUUUAUUUUACUGAGCAAUGGGGGUUGGACGGUGAUCACAAAGAUAUAAGGGAACAUAUAGUCCUGAAUUAACGAUGAUUAUUUUUUGACUAAAUGUUUCCUUUACUAUAUAGGAAAGCCUUUAGAAAUAUUUACAUAGAAAGUUAAGUUUAUCUAACAAACUGGGCUUACGGACAUGACUGCCUUGUUCCUGAGCCUACUAGUGUGUUAAAUAUGUUCCUCUGUCUGUAAAUCCAUGUAUGCUCUUUUUGCUUAAUUUGUAAAGCACGUUGGAUAGUGUUCCCUCCCUCCAGCACUUGUUUCUAUAAUACAUGGAGCUUACACUCUAAAUGCAUUUUUUAAGCUAUGCUCAAUCAAAAACGAAGGCAUAGUAUCCGUAAGACCCCUAUUAACUUGUCAAAAGUAUUCUAGCAUACUAACUCUGAUACUUUAAAAAAAAAAAUUAAAAAAUAACUGUUAGCCCUACACCAAUGAUGUAAACCUUCUAGGUUUUUAUCUAGAAGUUGAAAACAGCUUGUCUGAUUUUCAGUUUGUCAAAAAUAAUGUUCAAUUACAGCAUGAACUGUAAUAGAUGUAUUUUAAUGUACAGGGCCUAAUUUACUUAAAUUUCCUCCUGAGAAACAAAUAAUAAAAUAUUAUAGUUAAAGCAUGGCCCCAAAACAUUUAACUUUAAAAAACCCAAAAACAAACAAACCCCAACCCUUCCCCAGAAAAAUCAACAGAAAAGGUAUUACAUAUUUUACUGCCUUGUUACUGACCAUGUUAUUCAUUUUGUAUCAAUGAGUUUAAUUAAAUAUCCAUCUGUCUGCUAUCUUACCUGUAUUGCUAUUGCUUAAUUGGUAAAGCACUAUGGAUAGUGUCCUCUCUAGCACUUGUUUCAAUUAUUCAAGGAGCUUACACUCUUUUUGUCUUUUUGGAGACACGAAUAAUAAAACCCCUUCUUACCUUAUAGAAAUAUUCUGUACACCCUGUCCUACACCACCUAUGUGUCUUUAAUUCAAAUUUGAAAUCAGCUGGUCAGGCCAAUAUAUUUCAGUUUAGCAAACAUUUGUUGCUCGUUAUGGUGCUAAUAUUCUUAAGAAUAGCAAAGUUUGGGGAAUAUUAAUGAACUUGACCUGCAAUAGUCAAUUUUGUAGUUACCAAGGGAAAUUUGGAAGGAUUUUUUAUUCGGGGAAAUUUGGUACCAGAAUACAAAGUAUUUGUCCUUGACCCACAAUUGGUACUUUAGGAACAGAAUUUGGAGUUUUGCUGUUGACAUUUCUUUGUACUAUGGUAGUUGUGAGACUUAGUAAAAAGUAGUGAAAAGGUGGGAGGGCAUGUUAAAUUAAUCCUCACACCUCCACUCUCCAAUGGGAAUAAAAUAACUUUUUUUAUUUGCUUUAGUUAUCGUUUAAUUAUGUUUAAUCAUUUACUUUAUUGGCUUCAUUUCCAUUCAGUAGACCUAUUUUACUUUCAAUCAAUUCAUUAUUUUAUGUAGUAGUAUGUCGAUGACAAAGGUCACAAUUACAAACAAACAGAGCAAUUCCAUACCCCCAAAAGUACAGUAACACAAGAUCACCCCAAACCACCCUCCAUUAGUUUUUUUUUUCCAUCUCAGGUGACAAAGCCUGGUCACCAAGGCACCUAUUGACAACCCUUCUUGUUACCAAAAUAAGCAUGACUUUUAUGACCCCCUUGUAAUCUGAGUAAACACUUGCUGUAACUUAAUUACCAAUAAUUCUAUACCUACCGGAGGUUAGGUCCCAGUGACCCAGGAUUAAUCACUUUUAGAUUGUAAACUCAGGGAAGGGCCUGUACCUUCUGUAUUGGUCUGUUUAUAUUGUAUUGUCUUUUUACAAAUUGCACAGAGCUGUGGAAUAUGUUGGUGCAUUAUAAAUGCAUAAAUAAAUAAAUAAAAAUAUACAUGGGGAAAACUACAUAGAUGGAAAAAAAACAACCAUUUAAUACCUAAGCCAUUCUAUGGGGUCUGAUGACAUUUUUAAAUUCAAAUACUUCCCUACAGAACCUGGCAAAGUUCUUUAUCCUAAACUAUUUUAUAUUAGGAUAUGUUUAUAUUUGGAAAUCUUUAGAGGUUCAAAGGCUGAUAUUGUAAUUGAAGCGCUUUCUAUGGUUAAAGUUACUGUAAACCUUGAUCGGUCCAAAGCAAUAUGUGCAACCUCCCUCCCCCAACAAAAGGAGGAUUGCAGUAAAUCCCAGAUAUAUGGUUUGGAUAUGUGAGAAUCUGUUUAUUAACUCACAAUAAUUCAUUAAGGUAUAUGCUAUAAAUUAUAGUUAACAUUUCUCAGCAAGUUAUUUCAUUCGCUUAUCUUUGAAGAUUAAGUUUGAUCCUCCAUAAAAAUCACAAAGCGUCGUAUCUUUACAUGGAAAAAGGAAACAAAUGCUAAACUGGAAAACAUAUGCCAAGUAACAUCACGCAGACCCUGGAAAACAGGAAUUUAUUAUUUACAAUGAGCAUUUAACUAGAGGACACAGCGUUUAAUGGCUAACAGCUGUCUAAGACAUUGCCAAAUAAUGCACAUAUGAUGCAUAUAAGACAGCUUGAAAUUAUAGGACUUAGUUCUGCUUUCAAAAGUCUAAGAUGCUAAGUUGUGACAAUUGUAAACUGGAGAAAUGUGUAAUACGGACAAGGUAUAAUUAAACUAUCUAAGCUUGUGUUGGGAGCACUGCAAGGAUUCUAAGGAGCUGAGAAGGCCACCACGUUACUGUGCAAUAGCAUAUAGUACGUUCCUUUGGCAGAUAAAAGGUUAACCUUUGUACUGCACAAAUCAAACCAACGCUGCACAGAGAACAAAUAUAUUUACAGAUAAUAAUAUUGCCAAAUAAACACGUUCAAUACAGUCUUUGUAAUAAAGGGCACACUAUGUGUUUCAUUAAAUAAAGGACAAGGUGUAAACUCUAGCAUCAAAUUGCAUUAGUGGAAAACAUUUGGGGGUCAUUGUAGCUCUCAAUGAAAGAUUUAGGCAGAAGAGACAGUAGUCAAAAUCCUUAAUAAAGAUAUAUGUUUUAAAAACGGAUGGUGGUAAAUUAGACUUCAUAUCCAGUUUUUUGUUUUUUUAUUCUUUAUUUAUGCUUAGCUCUCAAGCAUGAGAGGUCACACGAGCAAAUAGCAAUAAAGAUAUCAGACAAAACAUCUAUUAGUGUUAACUGAUAUUCAUACAUUGCAUCUCAAUAUAACUUAGUCCAGGAGCUGAGGGCUUUACUUUUAUUUAUUGCUAGGCAUCAAUUUAGGUGUAUCCCCUCGAAACUUGGCCAUGAAGGGUCUAGCUGUGUACCAGUGAUGUUGCUCAUUAGGGGAAUUUGGGACUGUCUGUGGUGCACGUAAUCAUUGGUUACUCUAGGCUGGCCAGUAAGUACAAAAUAAGACUAUAACUGAUUUUAACCAGUCUAAGGGAAACUCUGACAUUAACAUUGUGGUGGGUUUGUAUUAUAAAAAUGAUCCUAUUGUCCUGCUGUAACGCAGUGCGGACCACCUAGUGUGCUCAGGGAAACAAGCCUUAUAGCAGACCUAUAUGUAUAUAUAUAAUUGCAACUCCAGAAACUCUUUGUGGUUUACGUUGGUUCUGUUCCGUACUAGGAGGUAGGGAAGAGGGGGAGGUGGGGGAUAUCAUAGGGCAGCCUAUGCAAUAAAAGGGGUGGAAACUGCUUAAGACAUCAUCUGGUGUAUAUCCAGUUUUUAAGACUUUAAAACGAGUAAAUAGUGUCAGUUAUCAUUACGGUUGCAUAUCAGUCACUAUUCCGACUAUGCCUCUUGUGCCCAUCGUCCAACUAGACCUUGAUAAUAACUGGCGUUGAGAGGGCAUUCCCGUCCCUAAUGUAAGAGCAAGAAAUCCCAACAUUAACAGGAGUAGGAAAAAUAGAGGUGGGAGACUAUAUAGGAGGAAGAGAAAAGGUGGAAGAAGAGAGAGAGGAGAGGAAGGAAGAAAGAGAAAAAAGAAACAAGAAGGCGAAAAUGGGAUGGAAGGAUGGCGGAUAAGCCACCACCUGAGACUCCCUGUUCCAUUCCUGUGGAAGAGAGUGCCCCCCAUGCACUCACCAGGGCUGAAGAGGCAUUAGAAUGGUAACCUGUUUGCAUUAACAUGGUGCAUGUAAAUUAUUUCUCCCUGUUUGCUUCACGCCAUUUCUGCUUCUAAAUUGCACACUUGGAUUAACUACUCUGUCUGUCAACGAGACAGGAAGUCGAUGCACAAAGUCCACGUCUGCAGGCAGCACUCCGAAUUACCCCUCAAGGAGUCUGCGAGCAUUUAUAUUUCAUGGAUCUAUUCUACUUUUGCCAUCCACUGUUGGAGAGUGGGCACAUCAGCGUAAUGCCAUAUAGCCGGGAUCAAUUGUUUGGCAGCAUUUAGAAUUUGUUUGGUGAGUGGCAUCUCGAGAGACGUAUUGUAGUGUGAUGAAGGAGCAUCGGGAAAGGGAGGUCAGUAUCCAGUAUGUCUUUAAUCACUUCAUGUACUUUUCUAAUGCUUAUAAAUAUAUAUGUUAUGACCAUGUUUCAACAUGUAGCAACAUAAUGACCUUUGUCGGAGAAAGUCAAAAUAGGAGUAUUGUAUCAGGGAUCAUCUACCAAAAACAGUGUCGACAUCCUGGUAGUAUGCCAGACUUCUUCAGUCCACUAGAAUUUAUAAUGCUAAGCUGCCAGGUUGCGUGCCAAGGUAGUUCACAGGUCUCUUAGCAUAAGUAUACUCUAAACUAGGGGUAGAAAUUUCCACUCACUACUAAUCAUUGGUGAUUUACAAUUCAGCCCUGGUGAGCAGAAAUUCAUCCAUUGGUUAGUGUGCCAUGGACUCUCCAGGCUUGCAGUGGUGACUAACUUGUAAGCCAGGAUAGUGGAAUAUGAGUUGAAUAUAUAUAUUCUCUAUAUGCCCUCAUGAAGUGCUAGUUUAAAGGGGGAAAUCUGCUUUGCUAAAUAUUGCACAGGAGAGGAUAAAUAAAAACAUUGCUUCAAUACUCCUUUUCUCUGUAUGCUUUUUCUAUGCUAACUGCCAGGUGGAAAGAGGUUUAAUGAUUAAAAAAAUUUGUUUGCAGCCUAUACGCUCCACUCAUUGUAUAACAUCACAUAAACCACACACCGUACACUCCGCGUGUGGAGUGACAUCACACAAACCACACACUGUACACUCCGCUCAUGGCGUGACAUCACACAAACCACACACUGUACACUCCGCUUGUGGUAUGACAUCACACAAACCACACACCGUACACUCCGCUCGUGGCAUGACAUCACACAAACCACACACCGUACACUCCGCUCAGGGAGUGACAUCACACAAACCACACACUGUACACUCUGCUCAUGGUGUGACAUCAUACAAACUACACACCGUAUAUUCCGCUCGUGGAGUGACAUCACACAAACCACACACCGUACACUCUGCUCAUGGCGUGACAUCACACUAACCACACACUGUACACUCUGCUCGUGGUUUGACAUCACACAAACCACACACUGUACACUCUGCUCAUGGUGUGACAUCACACUAACUACACACCGUACAUUCCGCUUGUGGAGUGACAUCACUCAAACCACACACCGUACACUCCGCUCAAGAUGUGACAUCACACAAACCAUACACUGUACACUCCGCUCAUGGUGUGACAUCACACAAAAAAUACACUGUACGCUCCGCUCAUGGUGUGACAUCACACAAACCACACACUGUACACUCUGCUCAAGGUGUAACAUCACACAAACCACACACUGUACACUCCGUUCAGGGUGUGACAUCACACAAACCUCGCACUCUGCACUCCACUCAGGGUGGGACAUCACACAAACCACACACUGUACAUUCCACUCAUGGUGUGACAUCACAUUGUCCCACCCAUAUGAUCCACCAAUUCAAGAACUUAGAAUUUUGUAUUUAAGGUCAAACUGGAAACAGCUGAAUUGGCUACUUUUUUUUAUUUUUAAUUUGGCUAUUUUGACCUUGAAUUUGAAAUUCACUCUGAAUCCAUUUUGAAUGUCCACUAAUUCUUAUUUUCCUUUUGCGCAUUUCAAUUAAGAAACACUCCAAGCACCAUGACAAUAACAGUAUAAAGAUAGUUUAGCAAGGCAGUCAGUGAAAGGCUGGGAACAUAAGCUGACACUCUCAGACUAUCACUGGCCGUUGAUAGGCUGAGAAUAGUACGUCUGUUUUAUCCUUGUGUAUUAAUGUCUUAUGGUAAUUUUUUGUGUAUAAAUUCAAUUAUAUUAUGCUUAUAUAUGUAUAUAGAACAUAUAAAUAUUAAUAUAAUACACGUAUAUAAAUAUACAUGUAUAAUACUCUCUACAAUUUAAAGGACAUCUAAAGUUACGGAGUCCAAUUCAUGUCACUGAAGUGGUCUGUUUGCAGUGGCCCUGUAGGUUAAACCCCAUAAGGUAAAACAUUGCUGUUUUGCAGAAGUGGCAAUGUUUACCUUGAAGGGUUAAACAUGCCUUUAGUGACUGUGAUACUGACCACUAGAGGCGCUUCCACGGCACCAAUUGAGUAAAACAUGGUCAUAUGAUGUUGCAGCUCAUAGGAAAGCAUUUGAUCCAUUGUUUUCCUAUGAGAAGGGGCAGGGCAGGCUCUAAGCAAAGUACUUUGUGGACUUGGGUAAAUGCUUGGCACUUGGUGCCAUCGCCUGUGGACUCACAUGACUGCUAACCAAUCCUCUCCCCCCUGUUGCCCCCAACAAAAACACAUGAGACCAGAAAUAUGGGUAAGAGCGAUGGCCACAGCUUUAUUAAGUUUACAACUUUUAAUGGACCAGCAUUCCAUCCGACUAUAAACUGUUGAGUAACUUCCCCCAACAGACAAAUACCACUUCCUUAUCCAGAGUUCAUAUAAGUCCUCGGCAGGCUGCAACUCCCCAAGCCGACUCAUCGUUUCACUUCACUUUCCAUUUCGCUGGCCAGGAGCACCACCAGAGCUGUGACAACAAGAAAACAAAAACAGAACCACGAACAGACACAAGAAAACCAACAACAUGUUGGCAAGAAACACAGGGAGGGAAGGCGGGAAAGAGUCAGUGUCCCCAUCACUCCUUCUGGAUGACUUGUGAGUCCCCUCCCCCAGUCCUCCGUUUUAUUCCCCUCCAACUUGCAACAAUGUUGUCCCUUUGUGCCAACCCCCUUACUUCUGGGCAGCAGUCAUGUCUGCCCUUCCUUUCAGUCCAGAGUAGUACCUUAUAUGUAUUGGGGCAGCCUCCAUAAAGAGGGGCUAUACAUGCAGUAAAGCUGAUGCAGGCUCCCCCCCUUAAAAAGCACCCAUGAUGGCCUCCUUUUUGGUCUAAAGCAGUGGUUCCCAAACCAAUCCACAAGUACCUCCUACCAGUCAAGGAUUUAGGGAUUAUCCGGUUAUGUCUAAGGUGUUUUUAGAGGAAAAAAAAACACUUUAGACACAACAGGAUAAUCCCUAAAGCCUGGACUGUUAUGGGGUACUUGAGGACUGGGUUGGGAACCCCUCGUCUAAAGAAGCGCCAGCCCUGGCCAUAUGGACAUGUCACAAAACAAAGAAAACAGACAAUGGAUUUGUAAUUAAGAGUUUCGCCUGUGGCAGAAAAAAAGAUGACGAUGAGAAAAAAAGAUGAUUGAUUGAUAGGGAACAGCCACUAAAUGUUCAUUUGAUUUCCAGACCAAAUGAGAAGUGACAAUAGAGGGAAAAAGGAGGAGCAGUAAACAAAAUAUUUAUAAACAUAUAUUAUAAAUUUAAUAAACAUAUAAUAUAUAAAUAUAGAUUUUUACUGCUCCUACUGCCAUUACUUAAUACUUAAUAUUUAUAUUUACAAUACACUAACUGGCCAAUUUUAGUGCCCUUUGGGUUCAUCCGAAUAGGUUUUCCAAAUUGAUUUCAUGGACAAUAUUCGUAAAAUCGAAUCAUCACAUGCACGAAUUUCAGACCACCCAAACAAGAUUUUUUAUUUGGAGGAAUCGAUACGGCCGAACCUAAUUAUUUCUCUGUACACAAGGCUAGUUUAUAGCAGUGACUAUUUGGGAGCUAAGAUGGAGGUUCUCAGUUGCAGAAUAAAGAUGUGAAUGUCUACAUUUAAUUUUAUUUUGUACACCUCACAAAUAUAUGUUUUGUGAAAUACAGUGUAAGUAAACAUAAUAUUAAAAAUUAUGGGCAUUGUUCCAACCCAUUUAAAAGCAGAAGUAUAAGACAGCUGAUUACACAAAGCAAUAAAAAAAAUAAAAACAAAAAUGCAUUUUUUAAAUUAUUAUGUUAUGUUAAGAAUUGUGGCCAGUGUAGUUUUAAACACAAUUUUCCUUUAACUGGUUUAUAUUUUGUCGGCCACAGUCUUACUACUUUUAGAAGACCUUUAUUUUACCCGUUCCUAUUUUUAAUCUGUGAAAUGAAUUCUUGAGCACAAGAAGUUCAUAUUGAUCUGUGUUUCAGAUAGUGAGAAAACAAGAACAGUUCAAAGAUACUUAAAAGGUUAGAAUUUCCAUUUUCAGAUCAAAUAAGAUCUCCAGGUCUGUAUCUGUAUCUUUAUAUAGUGUCCGUUAUUAUCUGUGAAUGAUUAGAUAAACUGAGCUCACAGCUGCCUAAAAGUGAAUUUCCCCAGGACUACAUUUAUCAAAAGCUUAUUAGGAAAAUAUCUGUUUUCCCACCUUGAAUGUUCUUUACUUGUUUCGUUAGCACUAUUUAUCAAGAUGAGAUCUUAUAAACAUACACUGAUUUCAACCUGCUGAACUAAACUCAGUAAAUUCAACAGUUAUCAGUCAGACUGUCAGUUAGAAUUUCCCAGUACAAUAAACACAGUUGGGAUUAUCAAAGCCAACAAGAAAAUAAACAGAACUACAGAAACAGUUGAUUUUGUAGCCACUCUGAACUAAAACUAUUACUUAAAUAUAUAUAUAUAUAUAUAUAUUAUUUCGACUUAAAAGGGAACUGUCAUUAUCCAGUGUUAUCAAUAUUCUUAGAGCUAGGUGCUUCCAGCUUCAUGAAUGUUGUAAUUUUUCCCCAUUGAUCAUAGUGGAAGAGGAAAAUUCAAAACAAUGUUUAUCCUCAUUUGCAUUGUGUGCCUUGGCAGUGCCUGAACUGAACGGGAUUAUGAUAUCCUUUAAAGGACCACUCUAGGCACCCAGACCACUUCAGCUUAAUGAAGUGGACUGGGUGCCAGGUCCUUCUAGGGUUAACCCAUUUUUUAAUAAACAUAGCAGUUUCAGAGAAACUGCUAUGUUUAUGAAUGGGUUGAGCCUUCCCCCAUUCCCUCUAGCGGCUGUCUCAUUGACAGCCACUAGAGGCGCUUGCGUGCUUCUCACUGUGAUUUUCACAGUGAGAGCACGCCAGCAUCCAUAGGAAAGCAUUGUAAAUGCUUUCCUAUGCGACAGGCUGAAUGCGCGCGCAGCUCUUGCCGCGCAUGCGCAUUCAGCCCAGGAGGAGGAACGGAGGCGGAGAGAAGGAGGAGAGCUCUGCGCCCAGCGCUGGAAAAAGGUAAGUUUUUAACCCUUUCCCCUUCCAGAGCCGGACGGGAGGGGGUCCCUGAGGGUGGGGGGACCCUCAGGGCACUAUAGUGCCAGGAAAAUGAGUAUGUUUUCCUGGCACUAUAGUGGUCCUUUAAUAAAAAAGCUAACGCAAGUUAUAAUAGAUAAUUUUCCAGAGUUGUAAUUUCCAGAGAAAUGACAGUUCCACUUGAACGAGAUCUUAAUUAUUAAUUAAAAUAAAAGAUUAUAAGGAUGACAUGUACUAAACAGCCACAAAAAAAUAUUUUUUACAAAUAUCACAAAUGGACAAUUUAUCUAAGUUUUCUUAUUUGUGAAUUAACCACGAAAAACGAACAUACUAAAUGCCAGUUGCCAUUUUUAUAGAUAGUGAGUAUAAACACACAGAAAUUGCUUUUACGUAUCAGUGUGUUGGCAGAAAAUGUUUCUGUGUAAUUUUUGUGGUCAGCCAAUAUGUUAAAUAAUUGUAAGUGUGAAUAUAUUUGUGUAGUUAUAAAAUUUGCUUUGCUACAAGAUUUAAUAACAAUAAUAGUUGUCUAUUUUUGUACUUUAUUAGUAGACUUGUGCAAAAAAAAUCAGAUUGCCUGAAUUGAUUUGUCCAAUAUAACAUUUUAGUUUUGCCAAAGUAUUUUUGUUUUUUGUCCAUGUGACAAAAUCCUUUGGCAGGGCAAACGUUAAUUAUGUGGUGGCUGGCCCGAGCUGGCUAGAUUAGACUCUCUAAAAAUAAAGCAAUAAAUGCCUAUAGGGGCUCAAUAAGACCCCUAUAUUAGAAUAAGGGAAGUAUAGAACCUCCCUUAUUACCCAAACUGCCAUCUUACAGCCAGCGCCUGCUCACUGUGAUCAACAACUAGGACAGGGGUAGGCAACCGUCGGCACCCCAGAUGUUGUGGACUAUAUCCCCCAUAAUGCUUUUACACCCAUAGUGCUGGCAAAGCAUCAUGGGAGGUGUAGUCCAAAACAUCUAGAGUGCCGAAGGUUGCCUAUGCCUGAACUAGGAUCUGGUAGCUAUUACUGCCCAGUCACUAGUAAAGGCCCCGUGUUCAUGAAAAAUACUGGGUGGACCUGGACCUUCCUAUGCACAUUGGGUGGGGCUUAAAAUUCAAUAAAAGGAAGAUGCACAUAACUGAAUUCACAAGUCUAUUUAUGAAUAUAUUCUUUCCUAUAAGGGUUAUAGCCACUGGAUGCCUAAUUUUAUAAUGUGUACAUGUUGUCAGCCCAUCUCUGGGCUUGUUUUCCUUCUUUGGAGGUGAGAGGUGAGAACAUGCCUUCUCUUUAAAAGAACAUUCUCACCUCUAUAACAGCUUUGAUGGUUAUAUAUAAAAGGUGGCCCAAGUGUGUUCACACUGGAUUUUUGCUUGAGCCAAUAUUUUCCUUCAUUAGCGCCCCAUUUUUCCUAUUUGUGCUCUUUCCAACAAUUUUAUCGUUUGCCUCUUUUUUGCUGUCUUAAAUAGAAAUCUAUAUUUUUCGAUGUAUAGAAACGAGGUACAGGAGGGCAACUUAUUUUACCAACAAAACAAACGGGUCCUCCUUUUUUCUUUAAUGAAUAAAAAAAAUCUUUCAGAUUGCAAAUACAUAUUUAUAUCCUAGUAUCCAUAUUACUCAUUUGUCCUACUUUGUAAAUGUAAUCAAUGGUAAAAUCCUCAGAAGAGAAAGGACUAAAAAUAAAUGUAACAGGAAUUAGAAAGAUAGGUAAUUAUGUCAUUUUACAGAAAUCUAGAUUGGGGCCUGAGACUGACUAAGUGACUCCACCUCUGGCAGCAUCAAAAGGUUCCAGGUUUGCUAAUAACAGGUCUAUGCAAAUUUCAAUGCACAUACACUCAUUGAUUGGCUGAGAGUGUUUAGACUUCGCAGCUCUACAAGUCCAGAUGUCCGAAACCUGUCUGUAGAGGAAACCCAGUGCCCAGCAGGACCAGGUAAGAUGACUACAGCAGGCUGUAAUGGUUAUAAUGGUUGGAAUAACCCCUUAAGCUGGAACAUGCCAAUAUUAAAUAUCACUUAGAGGUUUGCUGAUCAAGUAAUUUGUGCUGAGAAUAAACAGUUUAUAUCCAAACUUUAUAUUCCAGGAAUUGAGGCCGCUUAUCAUAUUGACUGAUAUUUGGGUUAAAGAUAAGACUUUUCACCAGUUAUUGACCCUACUCAGCCAUUCUUCUGUGUUCGCCUUACAUUUGUUUUAGCAGAUGUUGCUCUGAAAAUAGUUCCACAGCUGUGCUGUAUGGUGUAAAGGAAUGGGUGGUUUAAUUUAUAAAUUACACUUUCUAAUAGAGCUACCACAUCUUGCCUACAGUGCAGCCAUCAAUCACUUAGAGAUUAGUAAGGGCUCCCAUCAGUCCUGCAAAAUGGAAUUUAGGAAAAUACUACCUUAAUCAGUAAUAGAUUGUAGUAAAUGACUUACUCCUGUGGAAAUUAGCAUGAAGUAAACACAAGUGGGAUGUUAAUUAAUGGAUAACUUUCAUUGAUGCUGAUAGCCUUGGUGUUACACUCCCUGUUUAUCUGUAAGCAGCAGAUCAUUACAAAUCAUGACACUUUAAAAUGCCAAAGUGCCAUGUAUACCUUCCUGCCAUUCCUAAAGAAUAGAGCUGCUCAUGGAACUUUGAGCCAUAGCUUGUAAGGAAAGCAGGAAUGCAUUCACAAAGCUGGGAAAUGGGAUAAUAGAUAGGAGAGUUUUAUCUCAAAGUAAAUGAUUACAGUCUACACUGUCCCUUUAAGCAUUCUCAUCAAUAACUUAUUUCGACUCUAAUCCUAACCCCCCUAAACCUAACCUUGUUUUAGGAGCACUUUUUAUAACUGGGAUUUUCUUUUUGUGCUGAGAUUUAAUGACGUUAGCCAUACGAAUAUACCAUCAUUAGAGCAUCACGAUAUUUAACUGGGACAUUUGAAACACGCCAUUUGAAUGAUAUUUUAAAUGUAUACAAAAAUAUAUAAUUUCAAAAAAUAGCUGAGCUGUGAUUUUAUUUUAUGUUUAACUUCACUGUUUUAUCACAAUUUUUGUGGUUUUCUGCCUUAACGUAUGGAGAAGCUGCAAUGCUUUUAGCUUGGAAGUGGGUGUAAAAUUUCUAUAUAAAUGAUUUCAAGUGUGACUGUUUAUUGAACUUUGAGAUAAGUUUAAAUAUACUUAAAAUUUUUUUUUCUUUAUUUAUAGUUUUUUUAGGUAAUUGUUGUACUGGAAUCAGGGAUUACAGAAGAAAGAAAGGGAAAUGGGUACAUAUCAGGUGGUAUCCAACAAGCAUUGCCUAUCAUUUGUGAAUAUAUCUCAUAGCAUAGGUGUGGACAGUACAAACAGUAGUGCUUAUUGAGGGUAUAAUUGAAGUCAUGUACAUAUAGAUAGACUGGAUGCCUCUACAAGUCAGUGUGGCUUCGGUGAGUCCCUUGACAUUAAGGAGUAAAUAAAGUAAAUGGUUUGCUAAGAGUAGAAGUUGCAGAUAGAUGGAGGGGAUAAUUAUGGUCUUUGACAUCACAACUCAGAUAGUUGUAAGCAUUGUACGGUUCAACGUUCCAUUUCCGUGGCCGUAGUUAUCCUCUUAUUGCCUCAUGUCGUAAGAGGUGGCACUUUAGUUGGGAUUUCUAACUAUGUUUGUAUAUGUAUAGUGUGUCAGGAAGAAUCUGAUCACUGGUAGAUAUAUAUAUGUGGUUGUUGCCUUUGUUGGGCAGACUCCCUGUGUGUGUUGUGUAGUGUUGGGUUGUGCUACGGCAUAGAUAGAUAAAAAAGGAAGGGGUUAAUAAGAUUAUAGUGAGUGCAGGAGGGAGAAUAGAAGAGGGGAUGGGAGGUUAUGGAGGAUAGUGGGGGGGCUCCACCCCGGGGGGCGGCUGCACGCCCCUGACCUCCCCCCAUGUCACUUUAGAACUCCAGGAUCCAGGGGUCCCAGAUUUUGUGGAAAUGUUUUGUUGUUUCGUGAAACAUGGCUGAUAGCUUAUCCAGUUCCAUAGUCUCAUCAGUCUUAUGGACUACCACUACGAGGGAAGGUUUGUUGUUGUUACUCCAUUGUUCAGAAAUCGUAUGUCUGGUGGCGAGUGCAAUCCUCGCCACCAGUUUGUUCUAUGCUCUGGUAAGAGUGGCAUGGGGUUUGGAGAGUAACCAGAUCCAAGGGUCCAUGGGCAAGUCUGUAUGGAGGAUGCUUUAAGCGAGGUCAGAGACGCUGAACCAAAGCUGGGCAAUCGAAGGGCAUUUCCACCACAGUUGAAUAUUUGUGCCCUUGGUUCCGCAACCUUUCCAGUAGACGUCUGUGUCCGAACGCCCCAUUUGCUUUAACCUGAGAUAUGUGAGGUACCACCGGUGCAUAUGCUUGUUCCUUGUGGUUUACGCAUAUAGUGAGUGAAACUGUGACUUCCCAGAUGUCCGCCCCAGUCAGAGGGGUCAUCUGGUGGGCCUAUGUCUAUUUCCCAAGCCGCUGUAUAAGAGGGAACAUCUUCCAGGGAAGUUGAGUUAAGGAGGGAGUAUAUCGAUGAAAUCUGUCCUUUUUGAACAGGGGCGUGUAGACAUGCCUUUUCAAAGUGUGUAAGCGUGGCCUUAGCCAUGGUCGUAAUGCUUGGUUCGUUUAUGAAACUGCGCAAUUGUAGGUAUCGGAACUGGUCGAAAGUGAUAAGUAGUAGUUUUCUUGGUAGGUCUGCGAAUGGUAAGAGUUGUUGGAUACUAAUGAAGUGGAGGAGUCGUAGCAGCCCGUUAUCUACAAAAUGCGCAAAGUUUUUGGGUGUCAUGCCUGGGAGCAAUUGUUUAUUUCUCAGGCGUGGUGUGAGUGAUGAUGGUACAUUUACUAGAGGGUAUUGUGAGAUUAUCCUGUUCCAUGUUUGGAAGGAUGUGGUUAGGGCUGGGGUUAUUAAAGGAGUGUGUGGCCUGUAUUUUUUAGGGAGCCAGAGGAGGAGUGAGGGGAGUUCUCUGCCCAAGAGAACAUGUUCUAAGUCUACCCAUAGUUUCAUGCCUGCUUGUGCAUGGAGGUUCUGGAUUUGCGCCAGUUGGGCAUCCUGGAAGAAGUGGUAAAAAUUUGGAAGGCCUAAACCUCCUACUCUAAUGGUUAUGUACAUAGUGGACCUGUUAAUUCUCAUUUUUUUUUACCUGCCCAGAUAAAGUUGUCUAUUUUUAUCUUAAACGGUUUAAAAUCUUGCUUCGAGAUAGAGAUAGGAGGGGCUUGGAACAGGCAGAGGAACGAGGAGAGGAAAUUCAUCUUUAUAGUGGCUAUUUUACCUAUCCAGGAUAUGGACAUUUGGUGCCAUCUCUGUAGGUCUGCGUGCGCUUGAUGGAGCAGUGGUGUGUAGUUUAGUUUAUAUGUGUUGGUGAGGUCAGUUGGGAGAUAUGUUCCAAGAUACUCUGUGUGUUGUAUUUGAAGGGGUAGGUUUGGUAGAGGUGAUUAAGGGGCUGUUUUGGGAUGCCUAUAGGGAGGGCUUCCAUCUUGUCUAGAUAUAGUUUGUAUCCCGAGAAGGUGGCGUACUCUUCUAAGAGCUCUAAUAGAGGGGGCAGGCAGUGGCAUGGAUCUGUGAGGGUUAAAAGAAUAUCGUCAGCGUAAGCUGCGGUUUUAUAUUCAUCAUUCCUGACUUUGAGUCCUUUGAUUGUUGGGGUGGUUCAAAUGCUCUGGAGUAGGGGUUCCAGGGAUAGGGCAAAUAGAAGGGGGACGGUGGGCAGCCCUGGCGUGUCCUGUUUUGGAUGGUGAAUUCUGGUGCUUUUGUGUUUGGUAUGAGAAAGGUAGCUGUUGGGUGAUCAUAGAGAGUUUUUAGAGCCAUAAUAAAGGGUUCUGGGAAGUGGAAUUUUCGAUGGACAGGGAAGAGAAAAGGCCAGAGCAGGCAAUCAAAUGCCUUUUCGGCAUCCAUUGAUAGAAGAGUGUUGGUAUCUUUCUGUGUUGGGCUACCCAUAUUAGGUCAAGUGUGCGUCUGGUAUUGUCACAUUCUUGGCGUGUAGGGAUGAAGCCUACCUGAUCGGGGUGUAUAAGUUUUGGGAGGAAGGUGUGGAUUCGGUUGGCUAAAAAUUUUGUGAAUAGUUUAGUGUCAACAUUCAGAAGCGACAUGGGUCCAGGUGUGUUUUGUUUGGGGAUAAGGCAGAUGUUUGUCCUGAGCAUUUCCGACAGGAGGGGGUUUGCCUUCAAGAUUAAAUUGCAGAGAGUGGUGAGUUGGGGGAUUAGGGUGGUGGAGAAUGUUUUGUAGUAGAGACUGGAGAAGCCAUUCAGGCCCAAGCAUUUAUUGGGUUUCAGGGUCUUCAUUGCGUUAGCUACUUCUUCUUCUGUGAUUAGGGUAGAAAGCCUCUCUAAGGCUUCAUCUUUUAAUGAAGGUAGAGGGAUAUUUUGGGGGUUAUGACUCAAUUGCGGAUUGGAAUUGUGUUUAGUACUGGCGUGAGUCUGGGUUAUGGUCAUAUAGGGAUCAGGGGUGUCACAGAUAUGUCUGUUGGGUGAGGCGAUUUUGUCUAUAUGUCUGGUUUGUGUCCUGUGUCGAAGCUUACGGGAGAGGAGGGUAUCUGCUCUAUUUGACUUUUCAUAAAAGAGUUGCCUUGACCACUGAAGAACUUUCUUUGGUCAUGUAUGAUUUAAUGGCUUGUUGGUGUAGUUUGAUCUGGAUUGUCAGUUUGGGGGUGGGCCCUCGCUUGAGUCCCUGAGAGAGAGAAGGGAGCUGUGAUUUUUUUUUAGUUCACAUCUUAUUGAUUUUCCCUGUUAAAGACUCUUAUUUAAAUAUUUUCUAACUACAAUGUCACACAAAAAAAUAGAACACCUGGAUCUAUACAGUAACAUCUGGAUAUAUGUACAGUGUGUGUAUGAAACUGUUCCCUAUGUGCGCCGGCUCAGCGGAACUAUGCAUUUAGUUAACAUGUACACACUGGAUUAAUAAUCACCACUCUGUCAUGCUGUAUACGGCUAGUGUGUUAUAAUUCUGCAUUUAAAGAGUAGUAAAGAAUGCUGAUAAACAUUACCACGAAAAGGUUUAAUUAGCUUAACUUUAAACAUAACCUAAGUUCUUGUAAACCAGUCUUCAUGCCAAUAAAAUUGUCAUAUUUAAUUAUGCUUUUUACUAUUAUUUAUUGUUGGGUUUUUUUCUUGUGUAUACAUUUUCUUAUCACUUUCCUCUUUCCAUAUAUUUAUGAAUCUAUAGUCUUGUUUAAAAAUGCUUGUAGAAAUUAGCCCUGCAUUCAAAUCCCUACUACUCCUGGAUAGCAGCAUCAGAUAUUGUCAUCAGCCCAAAUACAUAAGUAAUACUAAAGCAUAGUUCCCGAGUAGUAUUCCUAAUUACUGUGUACACUUAAAUAACAUAUUUAGUACCACUGCAACGGCCAUUAAAGUGCAAGCUCCACUGCCAACAUUAAGGCAAACCCCUUAGGCAUGCCCUAUGCUAGCAACUCACCUUUCUGCUUUUUUCAAUUAGAAAGCAACAUUUUCAAUCCAAUAGAGCGGUAUUUCUAUCUCUACAAAAUAGUUGACCCUUAUUAAGACAUACAUAGGGUGGAGAAAAACAUUGUAACAAUUUUUGCGACUAAAAUGUAAUUUAGAACAAGAACAAUGCAUCUUAUUUACACAGACUGAUUUUCUAAAUCCAUUUAUUGUAGUUUAAAGAUACAUUACUGUAAGAUUUAUUGUUGUGGAGCUCUGUUAUACACUGAGACACUGUAACAAUAAGGAGCUCCUAGAAAAGAGCAUAGGAAAGAGGCAUAUAGGGGCUAAAAUAUGGACUUAGCCUCCUAAAUAGUGACAUUUGGGAGCUAUAACAUAGGCACCCUGUUUGGUUAAGCUAAAGGGACACUGUAGUACUAUAACUGCUACAUCUUCUUACUUAAGUAGUUGCAGUAGUAGUUGCAGUGUCUGGAGUCCCCAGGCACUGACCUUUCAUUCGGUGAUAAACCGUUUCUAAUAGUUUAUUGCUAAACGAGAGUUCCCAGAAAUGCAUCUCCUCUCUGCUGCUUAGGCUAAUGUGGAAGCAUUCGUCUGAGCCACAGUGCGUAGCUGUGAUUGGUUGAGAAUGGCAGCUGACCACUUUCAGACAAUCACAGACACCCAUUGCUGGUAUGAAUUGGUAUGGCUAAUGAAGUGUGUAAUCAUUUCCUUAGAGAUACCGAGAGCGAGGUCCGAGCUGUGGGCAGACAUAUUAGGCAUUAAGCUGCUUGGAAAUGGUUUAUUACUCAGUGAAAGAACACUUGGGAACUUCAGACACUAUAGCCAAAUCAACGAGAUGCAAUUCUCAUAGUGGCUAUAAUGUCCCUUUAAUAUUUGGCUGUACCAAGUCACUACAGGUCUGCUGGUGUGGUUGUAUCAUCAUUGACCCUUUCCACACUACAUAAAUGACACAAGUUACUUACAGUGAAAUCUCAUAGAGUGUACAAGCAAUCCAUGUUCCUUACAGGCAUCUUCAUUGUCUGUGACUAUUAUUUUAUUUUUAUUUGGCCCACAUACUGUUCUAGAAUUGUUACACACUCGCUGAUAACUUUUCCAUUAUUUCAUAGAAUGUUCAGAUGAGCACUUUCUGAGAUGAAAAACAAUGUAGAAGAAGAAGACAACUGGACAUUUUUUCAAGGUACAUUUAUUUCAGAACUUUUAAAAUUUACUUACUAAGCUUAAUUUCUCUAACCCACUGGCCAAAUUAGCUGAGCUAGAAAAAUUAAACUUGGAUGUUUUUUUUUUUUUUUUUCAAACAUGUUACCUGUCCUUAUCACAACUUACUAUUCAGUGAAACAUAUUCUUUACUGUUCUGUUUUUGUGUGUAUCAUGCAUUUGUCUGUAUACACGGCCUGUUCCAAUUUGAUUGUAUGGCACUGGCAGUAGUUCCAUGUAUGCACCCCGAACUAACCCUUUGGCAGAGAACUCAGAAUUUGCUUGGCCAAGGUUCACGAAGUCAGUUUAGAACAUUUCUAUUUCAUUUGCAGUCCUUUAAUACAAUGGUCCAUUCCUGGUGUUUUCACCUUCAGUUUAGGUAAUUUUAGACCUUGAAGAAGAAUAUGUGUAAUUAAAUGGCAUAAAACAAGGCUAAACUUUAGCUAAUGUUGGCCAUAGUGGAACAAUUAGCACAGAAAUGAAUGGAAUGUAUCUGCUGAUUGUCAGAACUGUGGCAUUCUUAUAAUACUGCACGAUAAGUUAUAUUUCAGAAAUAUAUUUAAUUCCUUUAGGAAUAGUGUGAAAAAUCCAUAAAUUGUACUAGCAGCUUUAGUAUGUUAUUGUACAUUAAAGCCCUUUACACUCACUAUAAGAAUGUACAAUGCCAGUCUAAAAUGAACUCAAAUAAUAAUACACUCCAGGCUGGAGAUAACACCCCUCCUUUUUUUUUUUUUAUUCUUAAUUUUAUUCAUGCAUAGGUUAUGCAAACAAGAUUGCGCCGUCACAGCAGCUAGUACAUACAUAACAUGAAAUGGGUUAUAACAAUUAUGUGACAUGGGGAACAGUGCACAUUUUAUUUUAAUGAGGAAGAACAAUCGCAUAUCGACCUUUUUUAAUAAAGAAGUGUAGUCCAGGUAAGGUUAGAUUAAGGUGUUGGCUUGGGUUAGGCGGGUGCAUGCGAUAGGUGCCUCAGAGUUACCAUCUGGAGGGAGACGGUGUGGUUAUAUAGCCAGGGCUCAUACCUGUUACCAGUGUAGUUAUGGUGUGUUCUAUGUGAUAUGUGGCUGAGUAGCAAGUAGGGCGAUAAAAUCAGUGUGUGUGGUGCUUGGUAGUGUUUGCCAUGGUAACUUGCACACUUUGUAGGCUGAAACUAAUUAUACCCACCAACAGAAGUAAUUUACGAGACUGGUGUGUGGACUAGGCGAAGUAAAAUAAUAUAACUGAAAUGAUUAACUUAAAUGAAUUAACUAUCAUAAGUAAAGUCUGACCUGCAACACGUUUAUCUAGUUUAGAUCAGGAUUAUCGUGUGCAGGUCGUGAGGGUAAUCACAUUUAGCAGAACUGGGUUGUCAUUUCUAAUGGUAGGACUAAGGCAAUAUACUCUCCUGAUCAAUAAUAUGCUGGGCAUUGGAGUCAGCAAGCUACACAUAUUUUGGCAUUGUACUUUGUGCUAAACUGCAUAAAUGAGAUAGGACACAAGAAAAGAAAAAAAAAAGGAUAUCGAUAAAAGGAAAACAAUGAAAUAUUUGCUCAUCUGCAGGUAAAAGUCCUCAGCAAUCAGGGAUCAGGCAUGACAACCAUGCAGGUAGGAGCAACAGGCAUCCCGGUGAAGUGCAAAGCUGAUGUAGGACAUAUGUAGCCAGGCCCCCCCAGGCGCUCAGCCCACGUCCGGUCUCGAGGUUCGCCGCCUGGCAGUAAGAGUCCUCUCGGCAAUAUGUCGCAACCAACUACUUAGCUAGAUGCUGGAAGUCAUGUCCGAAUAGGAACUUGGGGUCUCUUGAGAGUCAGUCUGUUCUCGGUAGGGAUGACGUGGGGUUCGAAAGAAGAUAAAAAUGAUAAUAAUUCGGAGCGUCCAGGUAAUGUCUAACUAUUCAAGUGGUGAUUGCAGCGUAGGUAUCUAACCGGGUACCUAGUGGUACAAAUGGGGUGAUGUUGGCUGGAUUCCAUCUGCUGGUCAAGGGGGCCCGAUCCCUGUUUUCAGCUUGAUGGAGUGCGUCCUCCGGUAUGCCCAGGGUCUGCAGGAGUGCUGCUGCUUCUGGCAAGUUCUGCACGGUAAAAACUGAGUUCCCUUGUUGUAUUUGUAACGUUCGUGGCGGACGCCACCUGUAACGUAUGCCGUGAUCUCGGAGUAGGGUGAUAAAGGGCCCCAUAGUUCUUCCCCACUGGAGAGUGUCUCCCGUGAGAUACGCAUAAAAGGUGAGGGCCAUAUUUUCAAAAGAGUAUGUGGAUACCCCUUUGAGUGCCGCCAUUACCGCCGUUUUGUCGGCUCCGCUGCAGAAUUUCAAUACUAGGUCUCGGGCUGCUGUAGCUCUUUUCGGGGCUUGGGUAUACGGAAGAUCCCCUCUGGUAUUACGUUUUUGGUCCAUUUGGGUGUUAGUAGGGCCCCCAGCAGCCUUCUCAGCAAGUGUGGCAGUUCCUCGGUCGGCACUUCUUCUGGUACACCCUGUAUCUUGAGAUUGUUGUGCCGUCUCGUGUCUUCCAGUAUUGUGAAGCGCUGUUCUGUUAUGCCUUGUUGUUUUUUCAGUGCGGUCACUUCUUUUUGGAGCUCCGCUAUGGAGUGGGUCGCAGCUUCUGCAGAGGUUUAUACCCUGCUCAGGCGAUUCACCGUGCCCUUUAGAUCUGUGCUAAGAAGUGCUACGUCGGUCUGUAUGGUCUUUUGGAGGUCCCCCAGCAUUGCCUUGAGGGUUGCCUCCGUCACCGGUGCUGAGGUCUGUAGGACCGACCGUGGAUGUAGCGGCCGGGGAGGUCCCAUGCUGCUGUCAUCUAGGAAUGGGUCCUCCGAGGAGUCAGUAAGUUCUCCGAGGUCGGCGGCCAUCUUGGGUCCGCAUGCUCCCUGCGCUUGUCUGAACAUUUCCCCUAUAGUCAUGCCCAACCAGGAUUUGUCUGGUUUUUGUUUCUUUGCCUUUCUGCCCAUGUUCAAUUUAGGGUCUUUUUCAGUGAUUUCCACUAAUUGUGGUGUUCAUUAUGCUGUGUUAGUUCUGUCUCGCUCAGGUUGCAUGCGUCCGUCUUGUUGGCUCCAUCCCCAACACCCCUCCUUUUUAAUUCUAUAGAUAAUCAGUUAAAAAUACAAAACAGAAAUAAAUACAAGACAAUUAAAAUAAAAAACAAUUUUUGUCCCAUAAACACCUUACCCAUAAAAGUUCAACCCCUAGUAUAAUCCUGCCUGCUCUGCAUGGAUGUGCCAUGCACAGAACCUGAACAGAUUUUGGAUGGCAGAGAAAUAACUGAAACACAACACAAUAUUCAGUGAGGCAUCCCACAAUGCAGUAUGUUCAGACACUUGCUAAACAAUAAGCAUCACAGAGACCGUAUUGCAAAUUUAGGUAAGCAUAUGACUUGUCGAUUACAGGACUAAAUUGGUUGGCCUGAGCCAACCAAUCACAGUUUGCUGACUGAGCAUUCACAGUCUGGGUAAGUCUAAAUAAGCAGCAUUCUCAUCUUGAAUGAUCAGUUUUUGCUAAGCAUUAAAUAGGCUUAUAUGGGUUAUUUUUUUACUUUGAAGUUUUUUCAAUUUGGGUCUAUUUUAUUGUUUUUUGGGGGGUAUUUUUAUAUUUUGGGGGCAAUAAAAGAAAAUUGAAUAAGAAGACUGAGGGGGAAUAGGUAGGGACAUAUUUUGGUUGGCAGCUAGGGAGUUGAGAACCGAUAGCCACUUGAGGGGUUGGUCACUGUGUGGGCUCAGGAUACUAGACAUCUCCUGGAUGCUUAUCGGGAAUCAUAUGUGUUUUUUUUUUUUUUGUAAAGCCAGAAAACUAAGCAUCUCCUGGGCCUUUAGAAGAAGCUAUGUAUAUUUUAUUACAGGGUCUAGGGUAAUAAGCAUCUUCUGGACCCUUAUUGGAGGAUCACAUGUAUUUUUAUAACAGGGCCCCACAGACUGGGCAUCGCCUGGACACUAUUCACUCUCCGCACCAUCGCCCAUGGAGUGAAGAAAAGGAAAAAGAUGCUAACAGGGCCUCUUCUGUUUUUGUGGAGUUUGUUAGUCUAAUAAAAAUGGUAAAAAUGGUAAAAACUCCAAUUCUUUAUUCUUUUACAUCUUCCAAGAUGACACAGUCCAACAUUCCUGUACAUAUUCUGUAUUGGUCCAAACAUUUUCUUCCCAUGAACAAAUGAGACAAUUUUCCCACUAAUACGUUAAGUUCCUAAGUGAUAUAUAAGUAGUCUCACUUCAAGCCAACUUCAGAAGAUCUUUUUUCUUUUUUCAAAGGCCUUGUCUACUUGUAAGGCUAGUGUUCCUAGCUGUUGUGGUUAUGGUAUUUAAAGUGUCCCUUUAAUGACAAACUAUCAAAUCUAAUAAGACCAAAUUAUACCAGAUUUAAUGCCAAAUAAGAAUUCUUAAUGAGAGGUAAUGAAACAAAACUUUGCUGAUAAUAAAAUCACAAACUAUGUCAUUUGAUCACACACUCCUUCUGAUUGCAGGGUUACGAUAAAUUGGCAGCAGGCUUCUGUUUAAAGAGACAAAAUAUUUAGCAUAACUGUCUUCGCAGUAAAACAUUUUUUUAACAGUAGCUGAUAAAGCAUCAAUGCUAAUUGUUUUGCAACCUACCCCAUAGCGCAACUUACAGUUUACAAGAGAUUCAAACAUUACAUUAUGUUGAGACACUGGAACAACUCCACACUGACGGCAACCUACGAAUGAAAAAAAACAACAAAAAAACACAUUGUGGAAUGUUUGCUAACAAGUCAUGAAUUUGCUCUAAUUGUUUCCAGAUUUUGGAUUCUGUAGCUUCCUCUGCGAAACUUCUAAUUUCUUCCAUGUAACAGCCUCAUGUCUUGUAAUAAGUCGGUUUUAUGUGUGUGUUCCUGUAAAAUGUGUAUUUUAUGCUCCAUUUCAGUUCCAUACAAAAAAAAAAAUCUUUUGUACUUAUUUAUUUUCUAGCGACAUAUAGAAAGAAUGUCUCACUAUGAAAUGAAGAUUUAAAGCGACAGCAGAUUGUUUAACUACAUAAGGUAAAAUGGCGCAUUCAUUCUUAAUACUUCCAUUGUUGUAAAACAUACUAAGUGUAAUAUGUUUAUUGGUGUUGAAAAUACAUUAGUCUCCUUUGUAGUACUUUGUAGGUACUUUAUUUCUAUCUUUUUAUCUGAAUUCAAUAUGCUUUUUCAACAUCUAAACUGGGUGAAUGUCUCUAAUGAUUUACAGAUGGGCUAUGUAAACCAUAUAGAGCAUUUACGAUUUUUUUUUAAUGGUUUUUAAAUGCUGGUGAUUAGGUUAUUUUGUAAGUCUUGAUAAGAUUAAGUUUAUAGCUUGCCUCAGGAUGAAACUUUGUAAAAACUAUAUCUUAAUAUUAUUAAUUGAGUUUAAAUUUUCCCUCCUGUGUGGAGAGCUACUCAGCAAACCUCAUGGUUGAGCUAACAUUUAAAUCAACAAAAAAAACCCAAAAAAAACCUCCAGCAAUUUCGCCAUAAAUCAGCUUUACUCAAGCAUUGCUGUUGGAAUGUAGUGGAAUCCAAGUCUGCUGAGUUCUCUUGAGCAGCUUGCCUGUUUAUCUCACUGCUUUAAAUGCAGUUAGCAGCAAACUAUUAUGCCGAACAAGCUGUAAAUGUAAAGAAAAAACCUAGAACUCAUAAUAGACGGCAAAUCCUGACAAGGUAAUCUGACAUCUUUCAUCGCAGUUCUAUAAAGUAAAUACAUAGGUUGAAAAUACUUAGGUUGUUUGUAAACUCUGAUGGCUUUGUAAACUGAUGGAUCUGGUGAUUUGUAAUUUUCCUUUCCAUGCAGAGGGGUUUAUUUACUAAACACAAUGUUUUGGCUAUUGUUGCCGGUGGCUAAAACUUGUUUGAUAUUGGGUAGUACUAAGGUGAAUUCCAGAGUUCUCCCACGUUGUCCCUUGCUGAGUCCCUUUUUGUUCAAAGUGACACUAUAGACACCCAGAUCACAUAAGCUUAUUCAAGUGGUCUGGGUGAACUGCCCCUGUCCCCCUUAUUCCUGCAAUGUAAAACAUGGCACAUUUAGAGAAACUGCAAAGUUUACAAUGCAGCACUAAGACAUCCUCCAGUGGCUGUCUACAAGACAGCCACUAGAGGUGCUUCCUAGCGUUUGCUGGACUCUAGGUCUUCUAAAUGAGGCUGGACAUCCUCACGCUCUGCAUGAGGACGUCCAGCAUCAGUCAAAUCCCCAUAGGAAAGCAUUGAUCCAGUGCUUUCCUGUGGGGAGGACCUAAUGUGAUCACGUAUACGCAUUUGCCCCCCCUCCCCACCUCUCCCUCGGAUGAUGUUGGGACAUCGGAGCUGGAAUCAGGUAUGUGAUUAGUGUUUUUUUAACCCUUUACUGAUCACGGGUGAGGGGACGAGACGUGAAGGAAGGGCGGCAGAGGGCUCUAUAGUGUUAGGAAUACAUUCUCUUUAAAUCACCUGAACCUGGGAGAAAAAAUGCCUAAUAAGAAUUCGCCAACAAACAUCCCAUCUCAAUUCUCUAUUGACUGUUAAAUUAUAUUUUUUUUACUUUUAGGGUGACUGCAUCACCUAAAUAUUAAAAAGAGUAUUGUUUCUUUUUUUUUUUUUUUUUAAUAGAAUAUGUAAUUUUCAUUCUUGUCAAUGCCAUAUUGAAGUAUGUAUUUUUCAACAAUGUCAAAACCUUGUCUUUAUUCUUCCAACAGAACUGGACAAAUGACUAUAUACUGGGAGUUUUACAACCUGACAAUUAGUUACAUGUUAACCUUAACCUUAUAAAUUCUGAUAGGUUAUACAGCAAGCUGAUCUGCAGAGAAUCAUAAAUUGCUGAGUAUAAUUACUGUGUAUAAUUAUCUAGAAAAUGUUCAGCAACAGUUUGCUUAAUGCAACUUUGCAGAGUGAAAGCCAUUGCUGGUGCAAAGGGAAUGGGUCUUUAUGGGAUAAAUGUUAUGUAACAUUACUUUGCAAAUAAAAAUAAAAGUUAGUUGAGUAAAUACAGUGUUGCGAGGGAAUGGGUUAAAUUUUAUGAAAUGCAGCCAACUUGUCUUUCUAAGUCAGAUUUUUACUUAAUUAAAUGAUCAUGCCUCAUGCCUCCAUAAAUAUAGCAAAAUUACUGUAUUCAAGCCUGAAGCUGUAGCUCUGCAUGCUGUUUGACUUAGAAAAACAAGCAGUCUGCUGACAUCAUCAGAAGUGGUGGCCUGAUCCAAUCACAAUGCUUCCCCAUAGGAUUGGCUGAGACUGAGAAAGAGGCAGAUCAGGGGCAGAGCCAGCACAAUUCAAACACAGCCCUGGCCAAUCAGCGUCUCCUCAUAGAGAUGAAUUGAAUCAAUGAAUCUCUAUGAGGAAAGUUCAGUGUCUGUAUGCAAACGGAGGAGAUACUGAAUGUUUGUUUGGAUGCAUUUUAGGCAGCCAUGACCCAGGAAGGAUCUCUUACAGCCAUCUGAGGAGUGGCCAGUGAAGUUAUCACUAUGCUGUAAUGUAAACUUUGCUUUUUCUCUGAAAAGACAGUGUUUACAGCAAAAAGCCUGAAGGUAGUGAUUCUACUCACCAGAACAAAUUCAAUAAGCUGUAGUUGUUCUGGUGACUAUAAAUAAACUAUGUUUAUUAAAAUUACAUUUUAAACAUAACUAGCAUAUAAAGAGAGCAUAUUACAGCAAUUUCUUGUUAUGUACAGAUUGCUAUUCAGGGGGAACGCACUUUAAUUUUUUUAGUUAUUCUUUCGCAUUAUAAAGAAAUUUAAAGGGAUAAAAUGAUAAAAAUUGUGUGGUAUCCCUAGUAAUCUGAUUUGUGUCACAUACAGUAGAUGUGACAAAAACAUAUAAGUAACACUGCUCAAAUUCCAUGUUAAUUAGUACUUUGCAUUUCUGGGAAUGUAAGUUCCACGAAUGCCGCAAGAAUGUAAAAAUAUUUUUGUGUGGGCACAAUGUACACACGCAAUAAGUACUGCAAGAAUUCAUGGAGUAUAUUUAGUAUACUUACUUAUGGACUACAUCUCAUUGUGCAUUGCAAAAUAGAUCUUAACAGCAGUAUACAUAGUGUUGAUGGGGAAGAGAUUUAUAAUUGUAAAACAGUUCAGCAAUACUUGUUAAUUUUUCCCUAAAUGUAACCAUGAGACACAUGGAAGAUUAAAUAGUACUGAGAUUAUUCAUAGACAGAAAACUUCCUCUUACUAGUGAAUACCAAGAGUUGCUGCCAUUUUGAUUUGUAACUACAAAAGUAAUACAAGAUACAGAUUGGACAUACAAAAGGCUGAUUGUGGGUGAGUAAAAUGAUGCAUUUUUACGAUUUUAAAGGGCUAUAUUAUGAGUAGAAAAAGACAAAUCAACUAUAUAUUUGUGUUAGGGGCACAUAGCCGUAUAAGGAGUAACGAUCCAGUAUAAGCGUAGGAUAGUAUAAAAGAGCAAGUCGGUUGUGGUGUGCCGGAACCGACGAUGUGGUAGACCUGUAAAUAAAGAGGGCCCACUAAGGAGUAAGAAAAGAAAGGAAAAGAGAAAAAGAAAGGAAAAAGUGUUGAGAAUGUGGAGUGGUGUGAGGGUGAUUCAAACGCUGACCUCGAACGGUAUGGCGUCAGGUGAGUAUAAUAGUAAGCCCCUCCCACAAUUACAGGCCAAACGUCCUUAAUACUUGUGUUAGGGGCACAUAGCUGUAUAAGGAAUAACCAUUUUGAUUUGUAACUACCAAAGUAAUACAAGAUACAGAUUGGACAUACAAAAGGGUGAUUGUGGGUGAGUAAAAUGAUGCAUUUUUAUGAUUUUAAAGGGCUAUAUUAUGAGUAGAAAAAGACAAAUCAACUAUAUAUUUGUGUUAGGGGCACAUAGCCGUGUAAGGAAUAACGAUCCAGUAUAAGCGUAGGAUAGUAUAAAAGAGCAAUUCGGUUGUGGUGUGCCGGAACUGACGAUGCAAUAGGCCUGUAAAUAAAGAGAUUUAAUACAGUCAACAAAUACAUACAAUUAACCAGACAUUUCCUUAAAUGCAUUUCUUAUCUCUGGUACUGGUUUGGGUAUGUACCGUGUAUAGGCAUUUUUAAGUGGAGAUGAUAGCAUCCAGUUAUAGGCUAAUGUAAUACCUUAACUGGUAGUAGUCUGUUAUACAGGAAUUAAAAUAUGGUAUUAAAAAACAAGUGCAAUACAGUCACUCGUCACUGAAGUUCCGAGGCUUGUGGGUCGUGUAUUUUUUAUAUCUAAAAAUAAAGAAAAUGUAAUCAGGCAGAAUUGGGACAAAUCUGACAGAGUUCAAGCCCAACUGUAUUACAAAUCCAAGAUCAAGGCAGAGUGGAAAUCUAAUCCAUUAGAUGAGAAACUGUUAGGGAACCAGAAAGAAUAAUAAUCACAUCCAGAACCCCAAAUACAAAUGAUUACAGUCAACAGCAAUCAUAUACAGACCAGUAAAGCAGAACCAAAGUCACUUAGAAAUAAUGGUGUGCGCGAAUAUUGUAUGAACAGUCUGGGGAUGUAACUACUAUGCUAUUGCUAAUUAUGUAUAGGUUUGAUGUUAUGUUGAAGAACUAAGGGAUGGUAUAUUUCCAAUCUGAGCAUCAGCAGGGUAAAACUGAAAUUACACAACACUCUAAAACCAUUUAAAAAUUAUUGUGUGUCCUCCUUAUUACCCAGGAGUGUUUUUGCUUGAGCCACAUUGCAGACUAAACGUGCUACACAUGGAUAAGUUAUAUAUUAUUAAGCAUCAAUAAUAACGCACAAAGUCAAACACAAGUAAAUAAAAAAGUAAAAUUGAAGCUAUCAUUGCAACAUAUUGGAUUCCAUAGCGAUUGGCCAAUUUUAGUUUAUGAAUCCAUAUUUAUUCUUUAUGCAUAACCUCCAGUUUAAGCUAGAUACUCAUUUCACCUUCUCUGUAAAAUUUAAGUGGGUACCCAAAACAAAACGAAACUACCUGCAAAUUAAAUGGAGAACAUACUGAUAAUUGUUCCACAAGUAGAUGUCUUCACAUUUGAUUUUAACUCAGGACCAAAGACAAGGGAUGUGAUUCCCCAGAGAGAGUUACAAUCUCAUUUGUAUAUGAAACUCUCCUCAAACAAUCCAUCUUACGUUACACUUUAAUUGCAGCAACAUGACACAAAAAUGCUUACCUGGCUUGAGAUGAGAAGGGAAGAUGCCCCAACCCCUGCUAAAAUGCAUGAAUAGGGUAGUGACACUUCGGCAAUGAAUAUGCAAUGAAGGCUUAUUAGGGACCUAGUGCUUGCUGUAUGUGAGAUGAGUGCCAUUAUCCUAUGACUGGUACCUAUAAACAUGUAAUUUAUAAUGACCCAUGUCAAGUCUUGUCAACAGAAUCUGUAGGGGAUUUGAGAGUACUUCAUCUACUGGUCAUUAAGAUGAAAAAUGGCAACAAGGCCUUAAGCAGCAUCAUGGGACAUGGGGGAAAAAUAUUUAAAACAUUUUACAUUAUAGUAGUAAUUUUAAAUAGAAAAAUGCAUUUUCUGAGAUGUUUUUGUAAGGACUAUGAGACAAUAUUUAUUAGAGCACAUGUUUACAUUUUUUUUUUAAAUAUUUUAAAUUUUGUAAAAAAUAUUUUAUUUAUUUAAUGCUCCACAGAGGAUUUUGUAAUUAAGUAUCUAUGCCAAAUAGAUACCCACAUUUGAACAAGAAAGAAAAUGUUUGAAGAGGAAAGAAAAGAAAGAAAUGUGGUAUAUUUCAUGGCAUAGUAGAGACUGGACUGACUGAGUGGUUGAACAAGGGAGAAAUAACAUAAGAUAAGGUGAAACAAAGAUAGAAGUAAGUAGGAAAGGAAAAAUGAGAGUGAGAUGGAAGGAUUCAAUUUGAAGGCCAAGAAGAAAAAAUAAAUGAGGGUGAAGAAAUGAAGAGUUUCUGUGUGGAGGUGAAGCAACAACAGAGAGGUAUAGAGGAAAGGUAGUGGGACAGUAGGAAAGAAGAAAGAGGAAAGUCACUUACAAUGUAAGAGUAGAAUAACAGGAGAGCAAAGGAAAAUUAUAAAGGGUGAAAGAAAGUUUGAGGGGAGAGAAACAAAACAUAUGGAAAAAUAAAAUAGAUAACAAGAAAACCUAAUUAAAGAAGAGGGAAAACAAAGAAGAAAAGAAGGAAAGAUCAAUGAAAGAAUAGAAGCAUUGACAAAUAUAUGGAAGCAAACAAAGAAUGUUGAACCCAAAAUCUUCAACAAGAUGAAGAAAAGGAUAAGAAGAUUAACAUUUUGACAUAAAAGAACAUAUUAUUAUUAUCAUCAUCAUCAUUAGCAUCAUCAUUUAUAGUGUGCCAUUGCCAAUGUACUCCGAAAUGGGUGUAAUAGACAUACGCAUAAGUCCAACAAGACAAGAUGGACUUACACAAUCAAGAAAUGAUAAGUGGGACAAGUUUGAAAACCACAUGAAAGGUAACUUAUAAUCAAAUCUAAAUAAAAAAUGAAUGUGUUAACUGUAUAUUUAUAAUCAAUUUGUUUACAUUAAAGAGGAGAAAAAUAAUUUGUGCUUUCUGAAGACAAAGGGGAAAUGCAUCACGAAGAGGAGUCAACUGGUGGUUAGUUGAUAAGUCAUCUCAAAGAAAUGGGUUGUUGAAUAUAUCUUAAAUAAUUGAAGACUAGUGUAAAGUAUAAUUUUGCGGUGGAGUCCGCAAUGGCACAUAUUUUCUUAAAUAGUGAAUAUAUGUGGUAGAAUAUGGAAACAUACAAAGAAUGUGCUUUUGAUUAGAUUAUUGGAUGCCUGUGGAAAUAAAGUAAGUCAUACUUUAAGUCUAACCUGGGUAUUUGGAAAGCAAUUAACACUAUCCAUAUGAUUCUAUGUGUUAGGCUGCAAAGAGAAUUUUAAGUUUUACAAUUUACUGUUUGUUCUUACAUCAGAAUUACUUAUCACAUAAAAUGGUCCAGAAUGUUAAUUUGAUGAAAAUUGGUGUGAAAAUAAAUAUAGCAAAUGCCUGUAUUAAACAUUUUAUCCACAUAAUAAAAGUAGAAUUUGUAUAUAUUUAAAUAAAUAUGUAAUGUAAAGGAAUUUUUAUUGACAUUAUUUAACCAAUCCCUGUCGAUUUACCACUACCACCCAUUGUAUUCUAUAGUGAGUGCCUACGCUAUCUUUGCUUUAGAUUUAAAUAAAUAUAUAUUAAGUGCAAUCUUAAGUAAAGUACAUAAAUAUACAAAUGUUCUGCCAAGUUGUGCAAUUAAUAUGAAUAAUACAAUCACCAUAAAGUGUCCGUGCAUAAACUAUCAGGGUACUGUUAUAUACAGAAAGC